UUUUUUUUUUUUUUUUUUUUUUGUAUUUUCAAGGCCAGGGCUGUCGUUUAUGCAAGCUUUGAAUGCGAGCUCUCGGUGAAUGGGUUUUUUCAAAAUUUUCACCUUACAUUUAUCAAGUGUGAGCUCCAAUGAAAAAAAGUAGUACAUGUUUGCCAGAUGGGAGGAUCCUUUGGUCCACAGCAUGAAAACACUCUUUCUAUAGAAUGAUUUUGAAUUUCAUCGUAGUCUUAAGAAUUUCUCCUUAAACAGAGGGUCUAAAAGAUGUAGAUGUAAUUAAAGACUUAAAAUUAAUCACUUUUUUUUUCUUUUUUUUUUUUGGAUAUUUUGUGGCAGGGAAGCUGUUGUUAGCUAUAUGGAAUGUUUAUUGAAGCUAGAGGACACUCUCUCCGGUCUAUUUUCUGAGGCUCUUGGUCUAAACAGAGACUAUCUUUCAAGAAAUGGGUGGUUGAAAGGUGGACGGUUUGCUUGUCACUAUUACCCAACUUGCCCGGAGCCACACCUAACCCUGGGCGCCAGGCAGCAUUCAGACCCGUCAUUUCUCACAAUACUCCUGCAGGAGGACGUUGGUGGCCUCCAACUUCUUCAUCAGAACCAGUGGGUGGACGUGCCUCCGACCAAAGGAGCUUUGGUUGUAAAUGCUGGAGACUUCAUGCAGGUGCAAUUUCAUUAAUUUUAGCUAGUUUAUCAAAAAGAACUUAGACUAUGUCUGCCAGAGUCAUCAUCUGAUUCCUUUUUUUAAAGGGGAAAAAAUGCAGUUUAUGCUUCGGGAAUUGUGCUGGAAUAUGAAAUUUGUCUCUAUAAACUUAUUUUUGCAUUAGUCAACCCGUUGGAUUAUGGACUGCAUCAACCCAAAAACAAAAAAGAAAGAAAAGAAAGAGGGUUUAAAUCAGUGCAAUUUCAUCAUAUUUUAGAUAAGAAAUAUGGGGUAAAUUAAUGCAACUAAUAAUUCAAGAGGUAAAUAUUGGUUUGGCCCUUUUUAGUCAAACAGUUUUACCAUGAAUUCAGUUUGACGUCUGCUAGUAUUUUUCCAACAAAAAGGGCUUGCAGAUUUGUGUUUGUAGGAAAUUUGUUUUUUCACUUUCACCAAUUUUGGCAGCUGAUUAGCAAUGACAAAUUCAAGAGCGUGAAGCACAGAGUACUAGCUAAAUCAGAUGUCCCGCGACUAUCAGCUGGCUGUUUCUUUAAUCGGAGUUCGAAACCCAUUGGACCGUUGAAGGAACUUCUAUCCGACACAAAUCCCCCAAUAUAUCGGGAAAUUCAUCUUUCUGAGUAUUAUACAGAUUACACCUCAAAAUGGACGCAUGGUACGAGGCUUAUAGAUCGUUUUAGGAUAUGAACUUAGUUUCAAUUAUGAGGAGGGCGACAUAGGUCAUUUGUUGUUAAACAAUUGCUAAUGCAAAUGCAAAUUGGUACUUUUUGUGAUUUAUAAGCUGAACUAAUGACAUCAUCGAAAAUUAUCUACAUUUAGUUACUGUGAUAAUUGCAUAUCGAUUUAUUUGGGUUGCAAUAAAUUUCGAGUGAUGUAAAUAAAUUAGGGUUGGUACACUUGCCUAGGGGGCACAAAAUUGAGAGGGAAAUGUCAAGUGUUAAAUUUUUCGGAAAAGUUUUAUUACAUUUUAAAAAUUGUAUACGGGUAAGAGGUAAUAAAUGUGAUGGCAUACAUUUGAAUGAUAAAUUUAAUUUAAUUUAAUUUGAAAUAUUGUUUAAAUCCAAGAUGAUUGAGAAAUGAUUUUGGAGCAUAAAAACUUAACUUUUUUUUAAUUAAAAACCAGAUUUUAUUAACGGAUUGCUGAAAAUUGUCCAGCACGAUUUAAUUUAUAUCACUGCCCUAAUGGCAAGCUAAACAUGCACUAAAAAUUAUAAAUCUGUAAUUUAGCAAAUACGAUAGAAAUGAAAAAUACAAGAAAUUUUGAAAUUGUCUUCACUCUACCUCCCCUUCCGUGCAUGUUGUAAUAGCCAAAUCUGUUAAUAAAAGGUUUUAAACUCCAAGAAUGAUGAUGAAAUCAAUCAAAAUAGAUCUAAGAUCCAAAAAAAUUUCAGACUUGAAAACUAGAUCUGAAAUAAAUUUAGAUUUAAUAACAAAUAAGAAAAAGAAACACAAACCCUAGGAGAAUAGAAAAUUCUCACUAGGAUUCCUUAGGAGAAAUAGAAGCUCUCAUUAAGAAAAUUUAAAAGAGAUUUUAUUAGAAAAAUAAAACAAAACGAAAUUCAUGGGAGAGAGUCCAUGGUGUAGAUUUUCUCCCCAAGAGGGAGGCCUUUGAGAAGAGGAGAGGUAGAGAGGCAAAGAAGAUCUUAGUCUGACUCUUAGCAUAAACAGUUAACUUAAGAGAAGUUUGUUAAGCAUCAAUCAGACAUGUUGAUUAGUAAAAAUCUAUUAUUACACCCCAAAUUCCAGUCCCUGGACCAGAUAUGUAACAUGGCACGUCGUACUCGUGAGACCUUACUUGCACGAUUACAAAAGCAUCAUGAUUAUAACGUACAAAAAUUCAUUAAAAUUUAAAACUUAUAAAUAUAGAAAAAAAAAAUACUCUUCACUCAAUACAUCUUGCUAAAUAUCUUACUCUAUACUCCCAGAGUAGAAAUAUCUAUCUAUUUACCUCUCACUUAUCUUCUUAACAUCCAUGACCUUGCUUUCUUAAUCUGCAAAAGAAAAAAAAAAUGAAGAAAAUGUGAGUUGAGCGACGUACACUUAGUAGAUAACACUUACUCUACUGCCGGAUGACGUAGCUAUAUGCAUACUAUAUAUUUGCAAAUUUGAAUGCAAUAUCAUGCAUGCAUGUAUCAAUUUGAAAAACAUUUGGAGUAUAUACAUAUUUCAUUGAGAAGUGAAUGGCAUACACAUAAGUGGCCCCCGUCCAUUGUGGCACUUAUUUCCGUAGGAUCUAGGGGUGGCCUUACCGAACGUGAUAUAGAAACACAAAAAUAUGACAUGAUUAUAUUCAUAGAAAAUUCUCAUAAAUCAUAUAACAUGUCAAUCAUGUCAUCUCAUUUCAUAAAAUAUAGCUCAUAAAGUAUAUGCAAUAGUCAACUUUUGAGUACUCAGUUUAAAGUUUAACCCCUUCUAGAUGGUUGAUAGAUCAAGCAUAUUCCUUGAUCUUCACUUGAUCUACCCUACAUAGGUCAUAAGUCGGCACAUGGCUAUAAUUGACUAUCCAUAAUCGAUCGAGCAUUUUAUAUGGUCUUCACUUGAUCGUCAUAAAACAGCAAUACUAUCGCCCCUAUCGUCUAUUUCAUGACCGUUCAGAAUUUUUCAUAACACAAACUCAUUUCAUGCAUCGUGUGCGUAUUUUUCAUUUCAUAAAAAUCCACUCAAUUAAUAUUUCAUAGUAUAGCAAGGCACUUCAAAUAAACAUGCAUGAUCCAUUUUACAUAUCAAAAAGUAAGACUUUCACUUGAAAACACUCAUAUUUAACAUUUAAAAAAAUCACAAAUGGGUAAGCAGCACCUACUUCAAUCUACUCACUUAAGGAUGUUUUUAUCGCGCCUGAAUUUGGCUUUAGGAACAACUGUCAAUAACAAGAAUUCCAUAAUUAGUUAACUUAUCCUAAUUUGUUGAAAACAAGUUUAAUCAAAUGUUUGCCAAGUAAACCACUUGUUACUGGGCCUAUUAUUAUUUGAGUCCAAUGAAGCAAUGGUAAUUAGACUAAGGCCUAAGUUUUCUUUUAGCCCAAAACCAGUUUCAGUUACAGCUAACCAUUUGUUCCCAGCACCUUCUGGCCCAAUUCUUCUCAGACACCCAAAUUCAAUUAAGUUUGGUCCCCCACUUUAUUUAUUUUAAUUUGACCCGAUGGACUUGUAACAACACGGCCCGUUUUGUAAAAAUGGAUCAUCUUGUUCCAAAUUUUCCAAUUCACACUCUUAACUAUCAAACCCUAAACACCAACCACCUUCAUCAAACAUCAUCACCUCCAUCACCCUACCAUUCUCAUGCUUUCACAGCUAUGGCCCUCAGCUGUAAUUUAGCCUAAAAAAAGUCUUAGACCAGAAUAUUUGUUUAAUUUCUUCUAUAAAUUCAUCAAUAAUAAAUUCCCCAACUCUUUACAUAAUUAACCAAAGAAAAUUUCCUACUCCAACAUAAAUUUUUCAAUAAUUCAAAAAAAAAGGAGACAUUUGCUUGUAUGAUUUAUGUAAAUAUACUAUAAGAAGGAAAUUCCUACAAAUCUUAAGGAAAAAUUAUUAUCUAUAAGAUAUUUACUUGUUUGGAGGCUUGGAGUUGCUUUCUUUUCUAUUAAUAUCGAACUUCCUACAAAAGGGUUGCUCUUUCUCACAUAUAUUCUAGUUUUUGAUAGAAAAAGAAGUGGAAUUGCCGGUGAUUAGGCUAGUUUGUCAAGUGUAGUAGUCAUAUCUUAGGUUGCAAGUUACCAAUGGAACUCUCAUCUUUGUCAGCUCGCCAAUAUGAAUUAGCCACCCACUAAUGUAGGCAUCACUACUACACUAGUGUGGAGUUAAUUAGUUAAGAAUAAAAAUAUUUAUAGUUCUAUUUAUUUAUUUUGUUUAUUUAAAAUUGUAUUAGACACUUGAGUAAUAAUAAUAAUAAUAAUAAUAUUUGGAUGAAAAAAUGGGAUUUCACAUAGACACCAUUAUUACAAUAUUGUGGAGUUAGUAAGUCAAGAAUAAAAUUCUUGAUAGUCCUAUUUAUUUAUUUUGUCUAUUUAAAAUUAUAUUAGACGAUUGAAUAAUAAUAAUAAUAAUAAUAAUUGGAUGAAAAUUACGAGGCUUCACAUCUACAGAUAAAAAGCUACUUGAUUUUAAAAGUCUAUGCGGAUUUUAGAAUGUAAAAAUAAUUGGAAAUCUGUUUUGGAUUUCCCAAUCAAACAAUCGGUUUUUCUUAUUUAAAAAUCAUUUAAAAGUCUCAUAAACAUAAGGAAACCAUUUUGGACCAUUUUAAAAAAUAUUUUGAAUCAACACGCGGUAAGCGUAACUUUACAAAAUUAAGAAAUAUUCAAAGAUGAGAAUUGGUUGAAUAGAGUUCAGCAUGAGUAGUGAAGUUUAGAAGCACAAGUAAUUUUACGUAACAAAUCAAUUUGGUUUAAUCAAUGAUUCCUUGGACCGUUGACCAUCACUAAGGUCAUAAAGUGUUUUUGUGGGAGUUGUCGCGCCCCAUUUUUCCGAUGGGAAAAUAAAAUGAGUUUAUAAAAAGAUGUGAUUUUAUUAAAAAAAUAAAUGAAAAAGGACCAAGAAUGGGACUUAAAAAAUGCGACGAUUUGGGUCCAAAAUUUAGUCUGAAAAGGAUUUUUAAGAAAAAUUAGGAGUCGCCACUUGAUAUUGAGUUUUGGUGUACCAAGUCACCCAAAAAUAUUUUUAACAAAAAUAAAAUAUAUAAAACCCUUUUAGACAACUCCAGGUCUUUGAAAACAAGAGAAAAUGAGUUCGGGAGUCACGGUUGAAGAAAGGGAAGGCAAAGGUUCAAUCAACUCAAACCUAAGGCACCCUUUCAACCUAGUCUAAGCUAGUUGCGUGGUUUAGUCAAAAUUUUCUUAAUCUAACCUUUAAAUUUAUCACAUUUGGAUGUUUUCUACAUAGAUGCAAAUAGAAAUAUCGAGAGGGACAAAAUGUUCAUUCAAGGGUUUACUUGGUAUCAAUCGCAUUAAUUGCGAAGGCCAAAACAAUACCUUGAAGGAGUCACGAAUAUGCAAAUGAUGAAAUCAAAUAAACAGAAGAAGCAAAUUAAAUUCUAUACAUAGAUAUAAGUGAUCAAAGAAUAGGGAUGCAUCAUAAUGGGUACGGGAGACAAAAACUCGUGACAUAAUUUUAUCAUACAGGGAUUAAUGGGAUAUUUAAACUAAAAAAAGUCAUAAUAACCCAUUUUCCUGUUCAAAGAAUAAUUAUUCUAAUAUGAACAAGCGAAUGAACUAACUUAUUCCACAAUUUCUUAAAUGAAAUGCAAUUCUAAAUGAUAUGAUUAACAUAUGUAGAGGGUAAGGGGUAGAGGAUAAUAUAAUAGAAAAUAUCAUGCAAAUGAGAAAAGAUCCUAAAAAAUAAAAUAUGCAUGAAAAUGUAAUGAAUAUCAUACAACAAUGAAUCUAAUGCAUGAACCAUAUACGGGUCUAGCGUUGGACUAGCCCAUUUCUAGAAAUCCUUACUAGCGUUGGACUAGCAAGUAAAUAGAAGGAGAAGCCACAACUAGCGUUGGACUAGUGUGGUGACGUUAUGCAUUAACAAUACAUAGUAAACAAAUAAAGUAUAAAUUAAAAUAAAUAAACACAUAAGAGCACGUAACACAUAACAUGUAAGCAUAAUAUCUAGAUGCAAAUAUCCUGAGAAAAACAGUAACACGUAGCAAGAAGCACGCAAAUCACACCAAGUAAACAAGCAAACAAGCCCUAACUAUUACAUUAGGGGGAAGCCUACUACAAUCUAAAAGGGAAAUAAAAUAAAUAAUUAAAAUAAAUACCUAACUAUUACAAUUGUGACAUUUAAUUGCCUUCUCAAAUAAUCAAGAAUAAAAUAAAAUAAAAUAAAUGAAAUUAAAAAUGAAUCACAAUAAUAAAAAGAAAAGAAUAAUAAUAAAUAAAAGAAUAACACUCAAAACAUGUGAUUGCCAAUAAAACACAUUGGAGCACAUAAGAGGAUUUAAAAUGAUACAAGAAGAUACCUCCCUUGAAGUAGUAAUUAAUGGGAAAUUGGAUUUGCCCUAUUUACCUCCAAAAUUAACAAAAUCAUCAAGGCACCAAUUUAAAUAACAAAUAAAUCAUAGCAAAUGGAAAUAAAAAUGAAAUCAAUCAAUUGAAACACUUAAAUGAAGUGUAAUCGAUGAUUAUGGAAGAAAAUCAACUUCUAUUUAAGCAAUCCAAUCUGUUAAUGAUCUAAUUGCAAAAAUAAACAAAGUUUUGGGAUCCAAUUCAAUUAUCACAAAGAUAUGGGGUCCAAAUUAAAGAAAAAUAAAAUUAAAGGACCUAUUUGCAAUUAUAACAGGGACAUAAUUGAAAGUAAUAAAAGUCAUUAGGGCCAUAGAGAAAAUGCUCUAGGGUACAGGGACUGAUUUGCAAUUUCGUAACCAGAUCUUUUAAGGAAAUGGGCCAUUGGGUCAUUUUAUUUAUUUGUUUGGGCAGAAAACCCUCUCAGCCCAACUGAAAAUCCAAGGAAAAGAAAUGGGCAGCCCGUCUUUUUUAUCACUCAAUUCAACUCAAAUAAAUACAUGGGUUUUGACUUCUUAGCCCAACCCAAACCCACAAGAAAUAAACCAAAACCCAUUUCUAAAACCCAAUAAAAUGAUCCAAAUUUUAUACCAAAACCCAACUAAACAAAUCUCAACCCAAAAACUCCAAUUAUUUUAUCAAACCCAACCAAAAUAAUAAAUCUAUCAAAAUUAUUAAAAUAUAAUUACACCCUCAAAUCACAGAAACAACAUACUUGAAAUACAGUUAAAAUAUGAAAAAGAAAAUAAAAACUCAAUAGAGACAUGACUGGUUCAAUUACAAAAGCUUUUGGGCCACAAUGUAAUUAUUUAAAAGUUGGGGGGGCUGAACCGCAAAUUUUCCGGAUUAUCAUGCAAAGCUUCGGAAAUCAACUUCUGCAACUUUUCCUACAACAUUCUGUCGGUGGCCGUGGUUACCGCUGACGGUGCCUCCGGUUACCGAUCGCCGGCAAUUUUUCCGGUCACCAAAAAUUAUUAAAACACACAUUUUCACUCGAUUUUUCGAGUAGAUUCCAAAUCCGGAUUUAGUUUGUACAGAAAACAAUUCGAAGAUAGUCAAAAUGCCAGAAACAGCCACGAUUUUUAUUAUUUUUAAAAUACUCAAAUUUUCACCAAAAAUCAUAAAAAUUAUACUACAACACUCCUUACAAUUCCUACAAUAUAAGUAUGAUUUUAUUUGACAAGAAAACAACAUAAAAAAAAUUAAAAUAAAGCAAAACAGCCCUUGAAAUUCAUUUUUUUCAUUUUUCACAUUUUUCAAACAAUUAUCAUGCAUUCACAGAAAUCAUUUUUUUUAAUGUUUAUUCAUGGAUUCCCCAAAAAUUCAACAACAUCAGUAACAACAACAAACGAAGCCAAGGGACAAACAAACAUCAAAUCAUGUAUUUAAUUUAAUAAAUUAAAGAAAGGAAAAAGUUGGAAAAAAGAUAAAAGAAUAAAUACCUCAAUGAAGAUUGUAGUCUCUUGAUUAGAAUUUGAUGAAAUUGCAAGCUCCAAUCAUUUUUAUUGGCCUUGCCCUGUCCAAGAGAAAAUUUGAGAGUGAGUGUUUUAUUUGCUAAAAAAAACGAGAGGGAGAAUCUGAGAGAAAGAGCCGAGAGAUUUUUUUCUUCCCUUUCUUCUACACAAGUCCGAGAGAGAGGAAGAGAGUUCUGGAGAUGAUCCAGGGACCUCUGCUGCAAAUUCCUUCUCUUUUCUGCUUCUGCCUCAGUCGAGGUCCUCGGAGCAAUUUUCUUCCUUCCCUUCUUUUGUUCCAUUGCUCCACCGAGAGAAAUUGAGCUAGGGAUCUCUUCUGCAAAAAUUUCUUUCCCUCUCUGUUUUCUGUCCGUAGCCUUCGUCCGAGAGAGGGAGAGAUGCGAGAGUGAAUCAGGGGCCUCUCUGCAAAUUUUCCUUCUGCACCGAGGCCUGAGAGAGGGAGCAAAUGAGGGGUGUUUUUUUUCUUUUCGGUCCCCUGAGCUCCCGAGGACCUCUCUGCAGUUUUUUCCUUCGUCUGUUCAGAGCUUCUGAGAAGAGCUCGGGAGAGCCUUUUUCUUUCUGUCCGUUGGAGCUCCAGGGACUCCUCACGCAAUUUUGGAGCCUUUUUUUCAAUUUCCAUCCGUUGCUCCUCGGUCAAAAGAUGGGAUCAUGAUGUUUAGACAUCAUGAUGUCCAGGGAAUCAUGAUGACUAGACAUCAUAUGCCCUUUUUUUUUAUUUUCUAUUUUUUAUUUUUUAUUUUUUAUUUUUGAUUUUUUUUUUGUUUUUCUUUUGCUAAAAUAAACCUGCAAAUAUAAGAAAAAUACACAUGAAAAUAAAUGACUCAUCAAAUAGAAAAUAAUCGAGGAAAAUAUUAAAAUUGAUAAAAAUUUGGUGUCUACAGAGUGAAAAGUCAAUAUUUCUUAUCUCCUAUCACUUGUCACUAAUACGUGGAUUUACUAAAUUCAAACGGGUGUACAAUGUGUUCUGUCACUUCUUCUAUACUAAUACGUGACUUCUUCAAAUCCAAACGGGCAUAUAGUGUAUCUUUCUGGUUCAAUAAUAAUUUAGUUCCUAUCCAUUCUCUCUCAUCCAAUUGAACCGUCUCUAAGAUAGGUUAACAUAGAAUUAGAAGUAUUAUAAGAAAGUGCCGAUUGAAAAAAAAAAAAAAAAACUGUCACUUUGUCCAUACAAAGCCUCCCCCCUCCCCCCUCACCCCCCGCCUCCCCAACAAAAGACAAGGGAAAAAAUAUAAACGCAAUCUGCUAAACAUUGAUCGAAUUCAUUUUUAACAAUGUGUAUCGUAACAAAAAUUGGUCGAUUGAGUUAAGCUUAUAUAAAUUUGAGUUUAUUUCAUCUUCGGUGGUUGAAACAAACCUAAAUACAGUCUACCAAACAUUGAACAAUUUAAUUAGUAAUAAUGUGUAUCACAUUAAAAUUUGGUUGACUGAGCUUAAGUUACAUAGGAUUUGGGUUUAUUUCUUCUUGGUGAUUUCUUCGGUUAACAACUUCAAGAUUUUCACUAUAACUUUUAAAAUCUGAAAAAGAUUUUGCCUCCACCAUUUUAGCUUUCGGCCGAAUUUUGAUCCCUCAAUCGCACUGUACUUGCAAGUACCCAAGUUUUGUUUUACAAAUAGGAAAAUCUUUAUUUGAUAAUGACCAUCAAUUAAUCUUCGAGAGACAUGAAUUGAAAUUUGGGCAAAGAUUUCGCCUAAAUCCAACAGCUAGUAACCCGCUUAUGCCCACUAGUUGGGUCUGUAUACCCACUAAUCCCUUACCACAGCCUACUUAGGUUCCCCUUCCCCCCUAGAUUAGUAUAGAGUAGGUUAUACAAAUAUAUCGUUGCUGACCAAAAAAAAAGAGUAACCCGCUUAUGCAAACCGGGCAGUCUAGGCCAAUUUUUUUGGGAAUCCAAUUUUCAUUAGUGGACAAGACCCUCUUUUUUCUACUAUAUGUGCACCUUUUAAGUCCGUCUCGGCGAAGUCACCUAAGAAAAUUCUACGAAUGUGGAAGGAUGAAAAUUCUACCAGGACUGAUUCAAAUUGAGCUAUGAAAGCAUGAAAUUAAAGUUAAUCCGUGUUGCUUCUCCUUUAAUAUUGGUAUUCAAAUUGAGCAAUGAAAAUUAAAGCAAGCACGUAUAAGAUCUGUAGUAUUCAUUCUUUAAAUCUGUUCUUUGAUAUUUGUGUAUGUUUGAUGAUGUAACUUCUGUCAUUAAUGUAUAUUUUAAUGAAAUUAUGAUGUUUUAUUAAAGAAAAAUCAGCGUUCACAUCUCUUUACAUUGAAGCUCACCACUUUGACUAUUAUUCAAGGAAUCAUAUUAAAUUAGCAAUUUAAAAAUCAUGAUAAACAAACUCACUAUAGCCCGCAGUCCAUUAUGACCAAUUUUGCAGACAUCAGGAAUUUGACUAUUUUCCCAAUGAGAUAUUGAUUAGGUAGUGGAAAUGUUUAGACAUCCGGCAUUCUUGUUUGAUUUCACACCCUAAGGAUCGAGGAGAUCAGGAGUUAUAAAAAUGAUAUUCACCAAACAUUCAACGUUGAGAUUACUAUCAGGUGUUUACUAGAAGACUCUAGACUUGAAGAGGCUAAAUUAUUUAUAAUGAUAAUAGUGUACUAUUUUUUUACUAUCUGGUUUACAUUUAAGAUGAUGAUAAUAAUAAAUACAUUAUUUAUAAUAGUUAUGUAAAAAAAAGGCUAAAAUAAAAAAAUAGAGUACUAUUUUAGUGUCAAAUUUAUACAGUAAUAUUGUAUGUAUAUAUCUUUUCUUCAACCUUAAAGUAUGUUAAAAAAAUGAAAAAAGAUAACAAAACACAAAAAAGAAUUACCAAAAGCGCACCAAGCAUAACAUUUAAAAACCUCUGUAAACGGCUUAUGAUCCUGAAAAUAUGUCCUGAUUCGUAAUAGUAAUCGAAGUCAAAUUUAUUCAAACUUUCUUUCGUAUGAGAAAAAAAAAAUCAAGCACAACAUUGUUAUUCCUUCCUAUCACAUUCUCCCCCAUCGUGCUACUUCCCUUACCCCACAAGCUCCCUCUCAUUGGUAACAUCAUCCACUCUUUGCCACUCCCUUCCUCACAUUCUUAGUCCAACAAAAAAUAAGGAAUCUAUACCAAGAAAUUUGCAAAGUUUUCCAUUAAACAGAAAUUUUGCUUGGCACCUAAUUUUAACUCUAGCUGUAUCACUGGUCAUAGUUGAAAAAUGUUCGUUGGGCAUUGGGAAGGAAAAAAGGCGUUUAUGAUUAAAUUGAAAUGAAUAAACUGAUGUAAAUUUGUUGCGCAUGCAUCUAGACCAUGAAUUGUACCAUAAGGUAUUUUGAGGCACAAAAUAUAUCGAUUAGAUAGAUUAAAGAAAAUUAGGAUCUCAGAUUUGGAAGGUAAGGGUUAGAAAAAUAGAAAGAAUGGAGCCGAUAAAAAUUGAGUUUGAAGUGAACUUCCUUUUUUAAUCCAAGAUGAUUGAGGAAUGAAUUUGGGCACAAAAGUUAACAUAAAAGAGGUUUUUAAAUCACAUGCUAAUUGGAUAAGUUGGCUGAGAAAAAUCUACAGAAUAAAAAGCCACCAAAUUAAAAAAAGAUCUAGGAGCCAUAAUUUUAGGAAGCAAAAAUGGUGAGAAAUCUCUUUCGAAUUCUUGAAUCAAAUAAUUGAUUUUUCUUACUUGGUAAUUAUUUAAAAGCUCCAAAACCUUUAGAAAACCAUUAUGGAUAGCCCCAAAUCAUAGAAAAUUAUUUUGAUUCAACACAUGGAAAAUAAAAAUUUUCAUCAUUAACAAUUAUUUAGACAUGAAAAUAGGUUGAGCAGAGUUCACUCAUAAAUUAGCCAAUCUCCAGACUGUAAAGUUUCAAGAAUCAUUCCUUGAUUCCGCUGCUAAAACAAAAACUUGUCUUCCACGUGUGAACUCCACCAUGUCUUUACAAAGUUACAAGAUCCAAAAACAAAACCUAAAUGGAAUUUGCCAAACAAUCAAUAAAUUCAUAUUAUUUCUUGUAUAUUCACUUGUUUGUUACUUCUGCAGUGGAUUUUCCUGUUCACAACUUAGAGAUCUUCCCUACAACUUUUCAAAAUCUGAAAAGGAUUUUCCAUCCAUCAACCGUACCCUUUUUCCUAAUUAUUACCCUUCGUUCGCACUGUACUUGCUUGUAUACAAGUUUGUUGUAUAAAUACGAAAUUGUUUGCUUGAUAUUGACCAUCGCAUCAUCAAUUCCUCCCCCGGGGGCUCCACCAGAAGAAGAAGAUCAUCAAUAAAUCUUUGAAAAACUUGAGCCUACGAUUUUGCUUAAUCCAAAAAAAUUAGUGAGAAGUGUCUUCCAAUUUUUCCUCAACCCAAUUAGUGAAGAAGACUCCCCUCACCCCACCCCCCACCUCCCCAAAAAAAAUACUAAACGUGCGGGAAAGGGCCAGUGCUGUUGGAAUUUGGUAUGAUUUUCGGUCCGAUUAUUGCAUUUUUUCACAUUAUUUCAUCUACAAUUACAUUUUGUAUUCAGAAUAGAAGUGAUGUACAUGAAUAAAAUAUUUGAUAUAUAUUUAAUACAAUAUUAUGAUAUAUUUGUACAUAAAAAAAUUAAACAUGUAUAAUGAUUGAACGAAACCACACAAAAUAUAAUUGUACUAAGUUCUUGUCCCCAAACGUGCACCUUGAAGUCACUUAAAGAAAAUCCUGCUAAUAUGAGAGAAUAAAAAGAUGAGAAUAGUGGAUUCAUUCAAAUUGCGCAAUUAAGGAUUAAACUAAAAUUAAUCCAUUAAUUAAUUCUAACUUUAACUGGACGUCAGUAUUCAUCCAUCCAGUAGACCUUAGUAUUCAUCCAACCAUUUGUGAUUAUUUAUUUUGUGACUAAGUUGUUAUCGUAAGCAUUCACAUCCAUUCACACUGAAUCUCCAGUUCUCUAUCAAUAAAAUUUCAUAUUUUGCUUUUAAAAAAAAAACUCAUUGUAGCUUGCACUCCAUUGAAGACCCAAAACUAAGGAUGCAUUUGAUAAAACUGAAAUUUAAAAUUUGACUCUGUUAAAUUAUUAAAUUGUGAAGCAUUGAAAUUCUAAUAUUUGAACAUAUUCUACAUUAAGUGAUUAGUGAACAGUUUAUCACUUAUUUUUUUGAGCAAAUUUUGCUUAGACAAUUUAGAGCCACUUAAUUAAUUAAGAUAUUCAAUAUUUGGUUAUUAAAUACGUCUAAAUAUAUUAAAAUCUGAAUCCACUAAAUUUAAGUGCUGAAUUGAAUUAUCAACAUGAUACAUGUUGGAUUUCGCACGUCAGGCAUUUGAUCAAUUUCUCAAAAGCACAUUGAUCUAGUAGAGAAAAGUUAGAGGCUUUAGGAGUAAAACAUGCGAAGUUUCAAGAGCCUCAGUAAAUUUCGGCAUACCAUUUGUCCUACUAUUUCUUGGUUCCAUUUCACACCAUAGUUGUUUUAGUAUUACAAACUAGUCCUGGUCAUUUUCUGACUAUUUCUUGGUUUCAUUUCACACCAUAGUUGUUUUAGUAUUACAAAAAGGGUCCAUAUGCUGGUCAUUUUCUGAACAUUGCUGAGGAAGAAUGCUUAAAUAAUUGGCUUAUUCAUUUUUACUUCUAAAUUUUUCAAAACUUUCAUUUUUGUCCAUAAUUUUAUCCCUUAUUUUUGGUAUAUUACUCUUACCAAUCUACUUAGACUGUCUAAUUAGUCAUUCUUUUUUAGAUUAUCUCCAAUAAUUAUUUUAUUUCUCUAUUGCAAUUUAUUUUGUUUGCAACUUAUUAUAGGCCAAAGCGUGUCCAUGUCACCACAGAUUUUAGACAAGUUCUUUAUUACUCUACGUUUAUACUUUCCUAUUAUUUCGUGUUGCUACUAUUUUUUUUGUUCUUUCAUUUAAAAUUUGUUACUUUCCUUUAAUCUAUAGGUUCUAAAUUACAUUGUCUAUUUUUUCUUUUUUUUAUUAUCCAUCCCUAUACAAAAUUUAAGAUAUCCAUUCCAACUCUAACAAACUAUGUUCGUUUUGUUUUCCUUAGAAUCAGUCAAUUACAAGUCAAUACAUUCUAAUCAUUUCAUGCAGUUUCCAAUUCACAAGAUUAAAGGAAAAUUCAUUUUUUUCCUUUUAUAGAUUUUCACUUACUAACUUAUUUGUUCUUUAUCUUUUGUGAAAGUAAUCACAUAUUAGUAAAUUCUCAAAUAUAUAUAUAUAUAUAUAUAUAUUCAUUCUUGAAUCAUAUGUUUCCUUACCACCAUUGACUAGAGUGAGUAAAAAAUUGAAUCACGGGUAAGAUUCACCGGAAACUAAUAAUUGAUUUGUUCCUGAAUUGAUUAUUUUCAUUCUGCUGAGCUUCAUUGUUUGUCUUCUAUGUGGUAUCUUGAAUAUUUCAAAAAUAGUUAUUUAGUUAUUUCAUUUUUUAAAAAAAAAUUUACCAUAAAAAAGAAGAUACCUGUGCAAAUAUGCAUGGGUGAAUAACUAGUCUACAAUUACUUACGGACAAGUUGUUUUAGCAUGCGGGUGACAUCUUUUCACACUGAUGCCCGUCACAUUGACAAGGAGUAAAGAUGUCAUAUAAUAUAAUCCUCCAUGGCCCAUCUGCUAAUUAACAAUAUGAAAAGAUUAUGAUAAACAAAUUCACCAUAGCCCGCAGUCCAAUGAAGACCUGAAACCAAAAUAUGAACAAUUUUGCUCUCCAGGCAUUUGAUCCUUUUUUUUCCCAAUGAGACGUUGAGAAAAAUUUGAGAUUUCCGGGUAAAACAUCCUAGUAUGGCUUUUGUCCCGCUAUUUCUUGGUUUGAUUCCACACUGAAGUUGUUUUACUUCUACAAACAUAGCAUACUCCACUUGCUGGCCAUUGUCUGAACAUUACUGAGAAAGAAUAGUUAAACGAUCAACCUUUUUCUUCUUCCUCUUCCUCUUCUUCUUCUUCUUCCAUGUUAUCCAAGAUGAACAUUUUACCCAGCAAUCAUGAAGAGAUAGAACGGGAAAAAUACACGGAAAUAUGGACGUAUCUCAGCGUCGAAGUGUAUCCUAGUGAUCCAGGGAAGUAUGAAGAUAUCAACGAUUGGACUCGUCAUAUAACAGAUGCUUUUGGCGUGUUCAAUCUGAUGAUGGUUCUUCUGAUGGGCGUCGUGGAUCGCACCUCGAACUGGCAGGUCAAAGAUGAAGACUUUCAAGUUUUCUUGAAGUCUCUAAGGACAGCGCUUCGAAGAGUAGCUGAGGAUUUCCAACCAAAUCCAGAUACCUACCUGAUUGAAGUUUCAGAAGAAGUUGUGCUCUCCAGCCUGGUGAAAUUGAAGUUGAUAAAGAAAGAUAUGAAACAAGUCUAUUCUAUUAUUUCCAAGGUUUCAAGAUCUGGAGUUACCUCAUCUGAGAGCACUGAAGUAAUUAUUCCAUUCAUUGACAUGCUCUUAAACAUUAUAGAGGAUAUUUUAAGCUCCAGGCUUGGCUUGGAAGAAAGGAAACGAAAAAAGAAGUCUGUUGUAGUCCAAAAGCUAAGAAGGAAAAUAGAAGUUUAUUUGAUUGCUGCCUUGAGGAAAAAAAUCGAAGCCCUUGAAGAGGAGCUCAGAUUUUUGCGAUAUUUCCUCUGGGUAAUAUCAAUUAAGUUGGAGAAAACGGAGCAUUUCCAAUGUCGACCGGAAGAGAAAUUGAAAAAGAGAAAUAAAGGGAUUUUUAUGAUGUUGUGGACGGACAGCAAAAUCUUUUGGGCUGUCGUCUGCAACGUUCACGAAGAACUAUUGGCUCCUAUGGUGCAUCGAUUGGAGGCGCAAUAUCUAUGGAAGCAGCAUCAAGUCCUACGUCCUCCUCCUCAACCGACUCUGCAGUCGUACUGCUAUCAUAAUCGUUCUGAGAACAAUACGUGACAAAAUCUCCUGACUGACCGCAUCCAGUAGUAGAUACAGGUUGGAUCGACGUAGGUACGGUCAUAGGCUGCCCGAGAAUGUAAUAAUCGGGAAGGUCUAAAAUAGGAGACGUACCACCCGCUCCGCUAAGAAAGGUGAAUAUUGGAUAUAGUUCAGAAGCAGAAGAUAAGGCUGCUGCAGUGGCAGCGUAUCCAAUUGGAGGCUCGUGUGAUGAGGAUGGAAAUUGUCCACCAAAUACAGGAAAAUAUGGAGAGGGCGUGGGAUGUGUACCAAAAGGUGGAAACUGUGGCAAAGGCGUGGCAUCUAGAUCAAUAUGCGGUGGGUACGGGAAUGAUGUGACCUGAGGGCUAAUGGCCGAUAUAUUCUAUCUAGGUGGCAUAGCAUCGGUAUCUGCCAUCGUCAAAGGCACAGAUGUGGUGAAUUGAUGGUCCACCGUUUGGUUGUGUCGAGACUGAGUGCCCACCUCGGUGUUUUGAAUACUCAUCUCCCCGAUGACUUCGUCUUGCAAGCCAUGCCUGUGCCGUUGACUUCUGUUAGGUGAUGGUCCACCUUGUGUAGGGACAUGUCGCACGCGAUUUUGGAUAGAAAUUCCUUAUGACAUGGGAGGAUUAUGAUCGAAAGAAUCAAAUCACCAACAACCAUGCGAUCAAAGCGCUGGAGGUAUUGCAUUGAUCCAUAUGCCCCAUCAACAAUGGUUGCAAGGCGUGGAUGAAAUCGACCUUCAGUGUCAUCAAGUUCAAGUGCGUCAUGCGAUUGCCAGUCAAUGCACUGCAUAGUACCCAUCCGACAUAUACAAAAAGGAGAAACCAUUACCAAUCACUGUCCAAUAGUAAAUUAAUUAAAUUUUGAGAUAGUAGUAACUUACUAAAUACUCAAACUGGCCAGAAACUCCAUGCAACAUUUGUUCAAACUGUGCAUGCUGCUAGAUAGGAGGCGUAAUGUACAGAAUGGUGUGAUUGUAAUACCACUCGAGAUACUUAUUCGAAGUCCUGAACGUGGUUGUGGGCACACCAGGUACCUCUACAUUUGCACGUGCAUUCUAGUAUCCUAUCCAACCACUAUGAAAAUCAGCCCAAUUUUUUGUCGAAUAACCGGAAAGAUCCAAUUGGUGUAAACCACCCUGAUUAGUGUCAACUGGUUCCGGAAUUUCCUGCCUCAUUCCAAAUUGACGCAUGACACGAUCAGAACAAUAUAGUUCGAUGAUGUGCCAGAAUAUAAGAGGGACUCUUGCCCGCCAUAUGAACUCUCCUCGUUUGCAGUAAUCAGGUAGCCUAGCCAGUAUACCAUUGCUAUAUGUCAUCCAAAUAAACUGAUACGAUAACAAUUAGUGUUAAUCACAUUUAAUCCCCUUAAGGUAUACCUCAUUUCUCAGUUUACCCCCUAACCUUUAAUUUUACUCACUUAACCCCCUAUAGGACAAAAUUGCCCUUGCAUUAUUUUGACUUUUUAUUUACCUCGUUUUCCUUUCUUUUAUUUCUUUUUCUCUUUCUUCUUUAUUUAAUUCUUUUUCUUUCUCACAAAAAUCUUCACCUUAAUGAUUGAAAUUAAAAAAGAGAAAUUGCAGAGAUCUAUCUUCUUCUUAAAUGAUUAAAAAAAAUAUUCAAAUCACUUUCCUAAAAUACAAUUUUUUUAGCCUUUCAAUUCUUUUAAUUUUGGGUUUUCCUUUUUCCUUUUUAGUUUCUCAUUUUAUUCUCAAAAAAAUAUCAUAAGAUGAAAUUGUUUUCCUUUCUUUUAUUUAUUUUUCUUUUUCUUCUCUCUUUCAUCCUUCCUAAUAGAAAAUUCCAUUUCAACGAAAAUUUUAGUUUUGAGUUUAUAAUUGCAUAUUUCUGGGUGAAGGUUUAAAAGGUAUCAAAAACUAAUUUUGAUUUUUUGUAUAAUGCCACGUGUCACAAAUUUCAAUUGAUGAUUAUUAAUCAGGUCACAAUUUCAUCUUAAAAUAUUUUCUUGGAAAUAAAAUGAGAAACUAGAAAGGAAAGAGGAAAACCCAAAAUUAAAAAAAUUGAAAGGCUAAAAAAAUUAUAUUUUAGGAAAGUGAUUUGAAUAUUUUUUUAAUCAUUUAAGGAGAAGAUAGAUCUCUGCAAUUCCUCUUUUUUAAUUUCAAUCAUUAAGGUAAAGAUUUUUGUGGGAAAGAGGAAGAAUUAAAUAAAGAAGAAAGAGAAAAAGAAAUAAAAGAAAGGAAAACAAGGUAAAUGAAAAGUCAAAAUUAUGUAAGGGCAAUUUUAUCCUAUAGGGGGUUAAGUGAGCAAAAUUAAAGGUUAGGAGGUAAACUGAGAAAUGGGGUAUACCUUAAGGAGAUUAAAUGUGAUUAACCCUAACAAUUAUUUAGGUGUGGACCAAAAUUACGAUAUUACUAUAAAACAUAAUUAAUUGAGAUAUAAGAGAAAAUACCUGAUCCAUCCGUAAUAAAGCUAGCUGCUCUCGAUAAUGUGUGUUGGAUUGGCUAGAAGGGUCAACCCCUAUUUGUUCGGCGGCCCAUCUUCCUCCUCUAGGAAAAUCCCCAAUUUCUGAACAUGGGAAUACAUCAGGACAAAUCACGGGAAUCCACUCCCAUGCCCAAAGCUAUGCCAGCCUUUUUUUUUUGGUCCAGUUAUGUAGCUACUGUCGGGUUGGCAGCCCGGCAGCAGUGACACAACUGGCGGCUAGGCUGACACAGCCCGACAGCCAAUCAAUUUUUUUUAAAAAAAAAUUUGGGUUUUGCUGCCGGGCAGCAAUAGUUGGGGACAUACCCCUUGUCAGACCUAUAGAUGUCCGAUUUUUCUUUUUUUGGACAAUAUACUGAGUAAUUAUCCCUUUUCGAGUCCACAAGCUGGCUGACCCAAGUAUUUUUUAAAUAGAAUUAUAAAUUUAAAAUGGUUAAUUCAAAUUACAUGAUAGUCCAUGGGUUCAAACGAAUAUACAUACCAUUUCUAUUUCCUCCCAUAAGUCCCACCAAUGUGGCAAUAAGCACUUGGGGUCUCAUAACUAAAGCAGUAAUUCAAACUCCCAUAGUUAAUAUGAAACCUAAUGUCAAAACAAUCUCCCGACUCGUUUUUCCUCAUUUAAUACCACUUUUUACAUAAACAAUUGUACUUUAUAAUGAAAUUUUAUUUCUAAAAUGAAGUCUCACGAUUGGUACCUUUUCCCCCCAUUGAAAGAAAUGUCCAUUUACAUAAUAUGGAAACUCUUUGACAGGUGCCGAACCUGUGCAAUAAUAAUAAAUAAAUCCUAACUACCACCUGAAACAGCUAGUAAUCAAUUCGAGUACUGGAGCAGGGACUCUAGGUGUGCAAUGGGUUACUUGAUUCACCAUGUUCCCGAAGAGUUUGCUUAAUCCGAUAUACCUGAAUUAAUUAUUUAACUGAACUCCCUAACUAGUAGACAGUGGUAAGUAGGGUCGUCUCCUCAGGGACUGGAGAGAUAUUUGUUUCUUUUCAAAUCAAGAUUAGUGGGGGGUUUUGGUAUCAAAUGUCAACUAAACAAAUUAACUGCAGAAAAUAAUUAAUUAAAAGAAAUAAAUGAGAGAAACUCUAGCCAAGGGUAUACUUCAGAAAUGGUUCAUGCACUGAUCAUUGAUGCAAAAAUAAUUCCAACCUUUAUUAAUAGAUUGGUUCUAGUUGUCUCGCACGCGCUAAACAACCAACCCUUCCUUAAUUUAUCGAUAGCUAAGGUACGACCGUUAGCUAUUUCUCUAACCCAAAAACAACCCUAGGUACGACCGUAGGAUUCAAUUUCUAGAUUGCAUUAGUAAUUAGAAAGGCCCAAUCCUAAUUAACAAACACGCUACGAGGGUUUGUUUAAACUAGAUCGUAUGUUUCCCUGACAUAAACCCAAUUACGCCAGUUGCUACUGGGAUAGAGGUAACGAACAAUUACGGAUUCAAUUACCUCUAUUUAGCAAAAUAGCCUAUAUGAAUAAUCAAUUAUUGCGCACUAAUCAAUCAUCCACACGAGCUAUAACGGUUAAAAGCAGGAAACAUAUGAAUACCAAUAAAUGGAGGAAGCAAUUAAAAUAAAUUAGAUCUCACAGUAAUUGUUGAACCAAAUCUUCAGUUGUGCCCCUUGACUAGCAUUGAGAAACUAGUUCUCCAUUAAUGGAGAACAACCCACGCGGAAAGGCUAUUCGAACCUUACAAAAUUGUUCCUGGCCAAAUAAAAGUCAAAGUCGGCUACGGAGGAAAAGUCCCUGACCUCCGUACCUUCCCCCCUAGCUUUUCCAAGUCAAAACCAAUUUAAAGACAAGCCUUCACUAAGUCUCCUAAUCCUCUACGUUUUUGGGCCACUCAAUGGGAUGAAGGAAAUUCCUUUUUUUUUAGGCUAGGCCCACCAGAGAGAAUAAACAAAUCCCCAUCCGGAUUUCUCUCCUUCAAAAUUGGUGCUGGGGUACCAAUUUUCCUAAACAAUAGGAGUCCUAUUAUAGAUAGCUUUCUUUAACUCUUGAAAUGGCCCCACUGCCUUUCAGCAUUGAAGUCCGCUGCUUCAUACAGCUUUGGAAACUUUCACGUGUGCAAAUUAUCCCGAGAAUCCGUCCUUGAAAGCUGGAGUUAGGCGUGGGCACGCCAACCUAUCAGGGAGUCUGCUGGAAUGACGAUUUUCAGUACUUUUUCUUCACCACUUCCUGCAAUUAAUCCCAAAUACCAAAUAUAAGUAGAAUAUAUCAAUUAAGAUAAUAUUUGGCUAAAAUCAAAGGGAAAAAUAAUUAUAAAUUUAGCACAAAUUAUGACUUAUCACUCUUAUCUCACUUGACCAAAUCUAACUAGACUAAAGAGGUGCUUUGGUAUCUCCUUUGGAUUUUUUCUCUGCAAGUGGAAUUCGAACCUUUGACCUACAGUUUAAAGAGGGACUUUAUCUCUUUGAUCUAGUUAGAUCUGUAUAUUUGCUAACUUCUUUACACAGUCUUUUUAGACUUCUCUUCCCUAUAUAAUAAGAUAUAUUAGGUUAUAGGAAUGUUAUCGUUGUGGCAAGAAAAAAAUUAACCAAAUUACUACGAGAAGGAUUAAAUGGCAUGCCGAGCAUUUUACUCAAUUGUUGAUUAAAAAUCACCGAGCGUUUCAUGGUUUUAUAUAUGUUAACCAGCUUAUAUUAAAAACUCCCUUGCUAAGGCUCAAACAAAUUGAAAUAAGAGGCAAACUAAAACAAAUUAAGAUACAACUAGAAAAAAAAGGAAUAAUUUCAAAAACAUCCCUCAAGGUUUCUAAAUUGCCCUCAAAAAGUUGUGUCGAAAACUACUAAAAAUAUGAGGGAAAAAACAAAUUGCUUGCACAUAUAAUUUUUUCUGGUCUGUCUAAGUGCCCAACCAUUGGGCACUCGUUAAGAUGUAAUUCAUGUGCUAAAUUUUUGAAAAAAUAAAAUUAAUUUGGGAGAGCAUAUAAAUGUAAGGAAGAGUAAUGUUUGUUAAUGUGUCCAUGUACAUGGUAGAUUGACUAUAAUUUAGAUAUGUUAACAAGUGUCCAUCGAGUACUUAUUAGAAAAAUUCAUUUUUUUGGGUGCUACAUGGUGCCAAAUAGCUAGAGGCAUAUAAGUGCAAGGUGUGCUAAGUAGCAUUUGUUGUAGUAUUAUUCAGCGAAAAACCAAAGUGGACGGAGGUAUAUAAGCUUAUGCAUAGGUUAGAUUAUAGGAAUGUUAUCGUUGUUGUAAUAUAUAUAUAUGUAUAUAUAAGCUUAAGACAUGCUAAGUAGCACUUAUAGUAGCGUUAUUUUGAGAAAAACCAAAAUGGCUUUAGGAAAAGAACUUGAGGAACUAGAGGUUCCCUGUUCGUGAUCCUUCAUCUGAUGAAGGAUUUGUACAAAGAGAUGACUGAUACAUCACAAUUUUGGCUCCAUUGAAAUUACUCCAGUAAAAAAUCAAAACUUUUUCAAUUUAUUUUAGAUAUUUUAGAGAAAUAUAUUUUAGAUGGCAUUCUUAUUUUGUUUUUAGAUAAUUUAUCUUGUAGGAUCUUUUAUUCCCUUUUCCAAACCUUUGCUACUUAAAAAAUUAGGAAAUAUUGGAUUAACAUAAUUGUCACUUCAAUAUAUAAAGUUCAACUAAUGUUGGAAUACAUGCUUAAGUUGAAGUUGUUGUUUUAGCUUAGGUCGUUUUGAUGAAAGGCUAAUGUAUGACUUUGUAAUAUUGAAUGAGGAGACCUUUCAUAUAGUAAAUUUCUGGUUUUAUCUUAAAAUAUUUGCACAUUUCUCUUAUGUUGCUAGUGCAAGAGUACGUGCAUUGCACGUUGCAUGUAUUUAUUUUGGUGAUAUUCGUGUCAAAGAUGUUCCUAAAGUUUGAUAUCCCAAAAUAAUCAAAGAUGCAAGGUGUUAAUUGAGUAUUACUUGAGCUUUUCAGUAUAAUUAAUUGAAUAUCAAUUAUUAGUUGAUGACCUAAUAUAUCUUUCAAUCGGGAAUUGAGAAAAAAAUUGUCUUGCAAGUCUAUAACUAACUUAAUAUGUCUAAUAAUUUUUUGAUAUGACCUAAAACUAUAUUAGUUUGAAAACUAAUUUUAUUUUUCAAUUAUUUUACAUGAUUUCAAAUGACUAAUUUUUGUAAACAAAUCCUAAUUACAUAAUGACAUAUGCAUCUCUACGUUCACAUGUCAAAACGUAGACAUGAAAUAUGUGGAUACGUGUUCUUAUGUUUACAUAUAUGAUGUAGACAUAGACUAAUUCAAAAGGAAUUUUAUUUUGUUCCACUAUUGAUUAAUAUUUAUGUUUGUCCAAGCAUAUUAAUAAAGACAAAAUUAUGAUAUACCAAUAUGUAGGCCUCUUUUUCUCUCUUGUUCUAGUACGCAGCUCUAUAUAUAUAUAUAUAUAUAUAUAUAUAUAUAUAUAUAUAUAUAUAUAUAUAUAUAUUAAAACAUCAUUUUUAACUACGAAAAAUUAUUGUCUUCAUAAAUACAACUUCUUAAUUAGUGUUAUCCUGGUUAGAAAUCACAAGACCAUGCAAAGUAAAUUGAAAGAGUUAGAACCUAUCCAUAGAAAUUAUGGUGUGGCCAACAUUCACUAGGAUACUUGUAUGAUUCCAAUAAGUGAGAUUUUAAAAACCUCAAGGGAGCUAAGUGAUAUUAUGAGAAAUCUUAGGGGAGGUUUUGAAAUUAUCCCUAAGAGCUAACUAUGAUAAUCGUUAGGGGACAAAAUGAGAAAACAAUAACAUUAGGGGAUAAAGUGCAAAAGUGGUAUUCGUUAGGGGGAGUUUUUGUGAUUAAUCCUACAAAAUAUUAACAUCUAAGAAGUAGAGAAUAAAUUCUACCUUCACAACAAAAUAAUAACCAACAAUUACUAAUUGAACGAAAGAAAUCCUUCUGCAAAGUAUUGACAUUUUACAAACAUUUUUCUUGAUAACAGACAAAAUAUGAUAAAUUCCAUGUUUUUGGUUCAGCUUUCUAUUUUAAUCAUUAAUUUCAUUAUUUGUUUCUCUAUCACUGUGAACCUUUUCGUUUCCUUCUAAUUUGACACAUAAUCUGCUCCAUUUAUCGAUUUUGCAAUUUCAAUUUGCUAAAAUCCAUAAAAUUGAAGAUAAUAAAAAGAGGACAUAGCAAUAUAAUAUCAAGGAAAUAGAGGAGUGAAAAUAGAUGCGAGAUAGAGAAAUAGGAAUUUUUUUUGGGUUUUAUAUGUCUAUUGUGUUAAAUCGUGAAUUGUCUACCAAAUGAAAGCCAUUAUAAGUACUUUACUAUAGCAAGGGAGGCAAGUGUAAUUACUUAAAUCUAAUGGGAGCCGAGUGAAAUUGUGAGAAACCUCAAUGGAGGUUCCUAAAAUUAUCCCAAAAAAAAACUUCAAACAAUCACUUCUCUUUGAGUAUUGUCAAGAAAAUCAAAACAAACAAGAAGAGAUAUAGUACGCCUAGAAUGGAGCAAAACCUCUAUAUUUGGCUUGAUAUGUUGGUUGCUUAACCUUAAUUAAGUUUCAAUUUCAUCAACUGACGCUUAACAGCUUAAAAUAGGGAUGGCGGGCAUGAUUGGGAUGGGGGUUGAGGGUAGGCGGGGGGAAGGCGGCAUUUUUCUCCCCUAUUAAAAAACGAGACGGAGGGUAGGGGAGUAUAUCCCCACUCCAUCCCCCACCAGCCACCCAUUGAAAAAAUUAAAUAUAUAUAAUUAAAUAUUUAAUAUUUAAUUUAAUUAGUUAUAAACUUAUAAUAAUGAUAUUAUUAGUAAUAAGUAUUAUAUAAUGUAUAUUAGUAUGUAUAAUAUAAUUAAUAUUAUCAAUUAUAUUAAUAAUUAUACAUGUAUACUUAUAGAAAUUAUUAAUUAGUUAUGCUAAAUUUACUAAUAUAUUUAUACUAAAUUUCUAAUUACACUAAACACAAUACAUUAAUACAUUUAUACUUAACACGAAAUAUUUAUUAAUACAUUUAUACAUUUACACUUAACACUUUUAUUAGCCCAUGUGGGUGGGCAGCCCCGGGGGGGGGGGGGGCGGUGGGGCAGCAAGCCGUUGUCAUUCCUAGCUUAAACUGGCUUUAGUUAGCAUUGAACAUCUUAGGACCAGCCUCAAAAAAAAAAUCUUAGGGACCAAAUUUCUUUUCAGUAAAACAUUAUGGACCAUUCGCCGCUCAAAUUUAGGAACCAAAAUUACAAUACUUCCUUGCAAAUAUGUUUAAUUAAAGAAUUAGCAUUACUGCACGUGCAAUAAUGACAAAGGGAAGAAUUUAAUGAGUACAAGUUAGCUUAAAAACAAGGAAAAAAAAUUAAUUUGAGACCAAAACUUUGUAAAAGUGCAAAAAGAGAGACAAGAAAAGGAUAUAAAGGAGAAUCUCCUUCUUGUAGUAUUCAGAUGAUUCUUCUUGACCUCAAACUAACCGAUGGAACACAUCACCUUCCAAUAUAGCUCUAAUCAAUUCCGUUCCAGAAAAAUUACAAGCACAAAAAAAAGAGAUAUUGUACUAUAAGUAAUAAUAGAUGAAGGGGUGGCAGAAUAGCAGGAAGCCCAAGGCAGUGGUGGUGGGAGGAAGCAUAGCAGGAAUAUCUUGUGCACAUGCUCUGAUUGAAGCAGGAUGGGAUGUUGUGGUGCUGGAGAAAAGUUGUGCACCCCCAAGUGGAAGCCCAACUGGUGCUGGACUCGGACUUGACCCUUCGGCUCAGAAAAUCAUUCAGACUUGGCUGAGGAACCCUCAGCUUCUCCACAACUCCACUUUGCCCCUCACUAUUGAUCAAGUAUGUUUAACAAAUGCCCUUUUGUAAUUUCAUGUUGAAGAGUUAUUUUCCUGUUUGCUCCUGUUGAUUGUGAGUCUUAAAUUAUUUGAAUUUUGAAAGAACGGACUGGUUCAUUCUCGAUUUUAAUUACUGCUAUUGGAUCAUAUUAACUUCUAAGAUGUUGUGGAUUGGCUGUUUUAAGGGAAUUGCUUAGAUGCUAAUCUGAGUUUCAGCAAGGACUUAUUUUGUUGUUCAAUGUGGGAACAGUCUUGCAGAGAUUGUUAAGUACUUCCUUUCUGUCCUUCUUUGGAAAGGGGUUGUGUAGAAGCGGAGAACUUUCAGUUGGCUUGGUUUGUCAGUCAUUAUGGUGUAGACUACCGGGACUACACAAAUCUUCCAAUUUUAUUUUUAAAAUGCAAGUUUUUUUAGUAGCAAAAAGGAACUGAUUAUGAUGUGGGGGAAUAUUCUUGUUGAUAUGGGACUCGGAAGAUGGAUUCCAAGUCUUUCAACUUCGAGUUAGCAAUGAAGCUAGCUUUACUGCAAUUUAGAAUGUUAUAUAAGCUUGGAAUAGUCAUCUCUGAGCUUUGCGUUUCCAGUGCAUUUGAUCGCAACAGAUGCAUUGUUCAAUUUUCUUGCCUACCCUGCUAAGACUCUGGUCAAAAGAUGAUAGACAUUUCUUCAGCACAAAAGCAUUCGUCUCUAGUAAACCAAACCAUAUCAUACCGCUAUUGUAGGGUUGCAUUUGUUGCAAAAUCUGUUACUAAUUUGCCUGUGUAUGAUAUAAACUAGAUAGACUACUUUAACUAGCAUAAUAGCAUCACUUACACCAUCAGUUAAAAAAUGUGGUUCAUGAUUUUCAUUUUUUAUGGAAAGGAUGAUACUGCAUUUGUCAUCCCUGUAUUAUAGGUAACCAUUCUGCCAAUUUAAGUUUCAGAAAGAUAUCUUAUAUGUAAACUACGGGCUCGUUUAAUUCAUCAUUUCAGUUAAAAUUGACUUGCUCUAUUUCUGUCUUUGUAGAACCAAGCAACUGAUGGAGAAAAGAAAAUCAGCUGGACUCUGACAAGGGAUGAAAACUUCAAUUUUAGAGCAGCAUACUGGACUGAUCUAUAUAGCCUUUUAUACAAUGCACUACAAUCUGAUACUGUUUUGUGGGGGCACUAUUUCCUUUCAUUUUGCAUCUCUGAUGACAAAACUAGCGUCACAGUUAAAUGUAAAGUUCUUGAAACCGGUGACACAAUUGACAUAGUAGGUGAUCUACUUAUUGCUGCUGAUGGCUGUCUUUCCAGCAUUCGAAAGAGCUUCCUUCCCAAUCUUAAGCUGAGGUCUGUAAAUAGUAAUGUCAGAAAUUUUUAUCUUAAUUUUUUGCCUUAAAUUUCCUGUAUGUGAUACUUUUUACAUUGUUAUCUUGUUCAUAGAUAUUCAGGUUACACUGCAUGGAGGGGUGUUCUUGAUUUCUCAAAUAACAAGCAUGCAGAAGCUGUAUUGGACCUCAAGAAGGCAUACCCAGAUUUAGGGAAAUGCCUAUACUUUGAUUUGAGUUCGAGAACUCACAGUGUGAUCUACGAACUAUUGAACCAACGGAUCAAUUGGAUUUGGUAUAUCAAUCAACCUGAGCCAGAACUUAAGGUAAUCUUUUUUUCUACCAUUUUUUGAUCAAAAGAGGUUUGUUUCAGCAUGGUUCGUGUUUCUUCUAGGCUGAUAUUUUGCCUUGUUAGCUAUGAUAGGGUUAUGCGAAUAUUGUCCUUCUGAUUCUUCUGAUUCCUCCCUUAUUGGCUCAAGGGCCAAGGAAUGACUUCUCUAUCAUUAUCCAAAUUUUUUAAAAUAUGCUUAACAGAACAAAUUGCAACUGUGUGAUCAGAAUUAGACAUUUCCUUUUUUAAUAUUUCUCUAAGACAGCCAACAUUGAAGGAGUGAAGGAAACAGGGAAAUGAAAUAAUACCUCCCUCAUAAGCACAAUGAGAAGAGGGAAAUGAAUGUUACCUUCUCAAAUAAUGGAAACAUAACUAUACGACUAUCUAAGACAAACCCAAUAUAACUGAUUCAAUCAAAUGUUACCUUCAAAAGAAUGAAAGCAAGUUCGACUGAAACAUGAGAAAAGCAAUUAGCUCUUUAUGCCUAAGCUGAUGUACUUCUUGAUCUUUUUACUUAGGGAAACUCAGUGACCAUGAAAGUUAGCAGCGACAUGAUUGAGCAGCUGCAUGAGGCAGCAGAAAAAGUUUGGGUCCCAGGAUUAGCAACGAUCAUAAAAGAAACCAAAGAACCCUUCCUAAAUGUCAUGUAUGAUUGUGAACCUCUGAAGCAAAUCUUUUGGGACAAUGUAGUUUUGAUUGGAGAUGCAGCUCAUCCUACAACUCCUCAUGGUCUGAGAAGCACAAACAUGUCAGUAUUGGAUGCUGCAGUUUUAGGCAAAUGCCUUCAGAAGUGGGGGGUGGAAAAUCUAAAUUUAGCCCUUGAAGAUUAUCAGUCUAUUCGGCUGCCAGUUACUUCAAAGCAAGUAUUGCAUUCUAGGCGGAUGGGUUGCAUCAAACAGGGUUUAAACGUUGCGGGUCGCAGACCUUUUGAUCCAAGAACGGCAACGCCUGAAGAAUGUGAUGACCUUCAGCAAAAGAAUAUGCCUUUCUUCACUGAUGUUCCUUCAAUAUUUGAUGUAACAACUUAGAGCGGUUGGAUUGUUGAGGAGAUAUAGCAUUUUAUGUAUGAAUAAAGGAACCUUAAACUAUGUUUUUGUACCCUACACCUUUCCAGAAAACUGCACAUAAUGAAAAUUUUACUUUAGGUCCAUUAUUACGUAUUUGCUGCCCCUUGUGACUCUGAAGCAUCGAUAGGAAGAGAAAACAAAAAGUAAGAAUUACACCAAUUGGACCAAACCUGACAAAUGUCAAGUGGACCUACCCCAGUACCCUCCAAAUGAUUCUACUUGGCCCCAAACGGAUGGACCAAUCAUCUCCAAAAAUGUCCAAUCAAUUCCAUCCCAGCAAAACUACAAGCACGAGAAGGAGACAAUAAUACUCCAACUGAUGAGAUAUGAAGGGGUGGCAGAAUAACAGGAAGCCGAAAGCAGUAGUGGUGGGAGGAAGCAUAGCAGGGAUAUCUUGUGCUCAUGCUCUUAUCGAUGCAGGGUGGGAUGUUGUGGUGCUGGAGAAAACUUGUACACCCCCAAGCGGGAGCCCAACUGGUGCUGGACUUGGCCUUGACCCUCUUUGCCCCUCCACAACUCCUAAGAACUCCACUUUGCUCCUGAGCAUUGAUCAAGUAUGUUGAAUAUAUAAAAACCCUUAUUAUGUUAUCUUUCAAGGGUUAUUUUUCUUUUUUCUCUUAUUAUUUGUACAUCCUUCAUGAGUUUAAAAUAUGAAUGGUUUCGUUGAUGUUUUUAGAUACUAAUUGGGUCUUAUUUACUCCUAAGAAAUUACGGACAGGCUGUUGUAUGGAACCUGCUUAAAUGCUUGUGCUAGUAAAAGUUAUUUCCACUAAUUUAUUAGUCUCGGCAAGGACUUAUUUAGACUGGUGUAUGGCAAUUGCUAAGACUAGUCCUAAUUAGAUCCCUUGUCCCCCUCUCCUUUUUUCUGCAUUAGGAAAAAGGACUAGAUCUUUCUCCCUUGUCUAGAACCCUAUUAGUGAAUUAAUUGAAAGUACUCUUUUUAAAGGUGAAAUCCUUUGAGGGUGACAAAAUGGAUUUCUGAUUCCAAACAAAAGCAAACCAUCAAAUAGUCAUUAAAUUUGUUGGACAUUUUGUAAUUUAGUGUUUAAAAUUACCAUUUCUUACUGAACCAAUUAGCUAGAAAGUCUUUUAGCCAUGAAGCUAGCUUUAGAGUCAUUUACAAUGUCAUAGAAGCUGAAAGUAAUCAUGUUUGAGCUCUGGAAUUUAGAUGACAGCUGAUCGCUGCAGUUGCAUUUGUUCUAUUGUCUUGCCUACCCUUCUGGGACGCUUGUUAACAGAUGAUAGACAUUGUUUCAUAAUGAAAGCAUGCGUCUGUAGGGAACUAAAUCAUAUCAUACCGCUGUCCUGUGGAUGGCAUUGCUAGCAGAAACUUAGAAUCCUUUAAUUGAAAACUCAACUACUCUUGACUUCUCUAUUUCUGUCUUCAUAGAACAAAGCAACCUAUGGUGAAAAGAAAAUCAGCUGGACUCUGACGAGAGAUGAAAACUUAAAUUUUCGAGCAGCAUACUGGGCUGAUCUAUAUACUUUUUUACACAAUGCAUUAUCAUCUGAUGUUGUGUUGUGGGGGCAUUUUUUCCUUGGAUUUUGCACUUCUGAAGGCAAGACUUGUGUCACAGUUAAAUGCAAAGUUCUUGAAACGGGUGACACAUAUGACAUAGUCAGUGAUUUACUUAUUGCUGCUGAUGUCUGUCUUUCUAGUGUUUGAAAGAGUUUCCUUCCUGAUCUUAAGCUGAGGUCUGUGAAAGGUAGUAGUCGAUAUCUCUUUAAGUUCUUGCUUUAAAUUUCCUGUGUAUGACAUUUUGUCCUUGUUAUCUUAUACAUAGAUAUUCUGCUUACUGUGCAAGGAGGGGUGUUCUUGAAUUUUCAAAUAACAAGCAUGCUGAAGCUGUGGUGGAUCUCAAGAAGGCAAAUCCAAACUUGGGGAAAUGCUUAUACUUUGAAUUGAGUUCAGGAACUCACUGUGGGCUCUACGAACUACUGAACAAACGGAUCAAUUGGAUUUGGUAUAUCAAUCAACCUGCGCCAGAACUUAAGGUAAUUCUCUUGCCAAUGUACUGCAAUAGACCAUGAUUCUUUCAGCAUAAUGUGGUCCUUGUUUUACGCUGAAAUUUUUCCUCUACAUCUACUACAUGGUUAUGUCCAAAUCAUUUUUCUGAUUGUUCUGUUUGUAAAUACUAAUUUUUAUUUCUCGAAUAUCCACUGCAAAUGUAGGUGUGAAAACCAAGGAAUGACUUCUUCAUCAUUCCACAAGAAGAAUUGACCUCAACUCCCGUAGUCAAGUUUGAUUGCUUUUCUGGCUCCAUUAAUUGACUUUACCUUUUAAUAAUAAUAAAGAAAAACCAUAAAGCCUUGGGGAGCAAGAAAAUGAAGGAGAUAUAAGCUGCACUCUAUGGCAUUCAGCACCAUAGCUGUGUGUGUAAUUUUGUUGGUGUUGAGGGCUUGGGAGUUUUGGGGGAAAACCAGUUCUUGAAAUAAGAAAGAAUUUUUUUUUCUUUUGGGGGGUUUUGUACGUGGGUGUCAGGGGGUGGGGCUUUAUCAAUUUUUUUGUCUAAUUUUUCUUUGGCCAUUAGAUUCUAAUUCUGUUUUCUUUCUUUAGUGAGGAAGCAAAGAGGAUGAUGAGGAUAAAAAUUUUGGUUCGCUCGUCGUGCAUAAUGGCUUAUAGUAUAUAUUUGCCUUGACGACCACCUAAAAAUGUUUCUGAGUCCAGCUUGCUGUAAAUAAUUUGACAGGAGAAAUUCCUUCUACAAUUGGGAACCUAUCCUCAAUCAAGCAAUUAUCCUUCACCUUUAACAAUUUGGAGGGGAAUCUUCCAGACGAGAUAAGCUUAUUAACCACCUUGUUUUUCCUAGCAGUGGGAUCAAAUAAGCUAACAGGUCAAAUACCUUCAUCCAUGUAUAAUAUCUCUACGCUCACUUUCUUUACUGCACCAGAUAAUUUUCUUUAUGGGAGCCUUCCAACCAACCUAGGUCUCAAGCUACCGAAUCUUCAGAUAUAAUAGGUAUUGCUGGAAACCGGUUCUCUGGAAAAAUACCUGUUUCAAUUACCAAUUGUACUAAGCUUGAAGUAAUUGAUCUUGGUGAUAAUAAAAUUGAAGGCCAUGUUCCAUACAACCUUGGAUAUUUGCUGAAUCUUAGAAUUCUGAGUCUGCAAGGAAAUCUCUAGGGUAGCAAUUCAGCCGGUGAUCUAAACUUUCUUGUACCUUUGACAAACUGCAGCAAUUUAGAAAUACUCUCUUUGGCUAAAAAUAACUUUGGUGGUGAAUUGCCUAAUAUUCUUCACAAUCUCUCAUAUCAGUUGACACAUUUAUACCUAUCAGAGAACAAGAUAUCAGGAGCCUUUCCAGCGGGAAUUGAAAAUCUUGUACAUUUGUAUAUACUGUCUCUGGCAAAUAAUUUAUUUACAGGUGUCUUACCAAGUGAUGUUGGCAAACUUCAGAAACUGGAGGUAUUGGUUGUUGACAGGAAUAUGCUUUCAGGACAGGUACCAUCUACCCUCUGCAACAUUACCAAUCUAUAUGUUCUGAACUUGUCCAGCAACAACUUCCAAGGUGUCCACCAAGUCUUCGGAACUGUAAAAGUCUACAAAUGCUGUUUAUUUCACAAAACAACUUCAGUGGAAGUGUAUCCCCUCAGAUCUUUGGGUCAUACAAAUCGCCAACAAUUCUAGAUUUAUCACACAACUCAUUGAGUGGUUCCCUACCCCUUGAAGUAGGAAAAUUGGCAAACAUUCAACAGCUAGUUGUCUCCAGCAACAAAUUUUCCGGAGAAGUUCCUUCAACACUUGGAGAUUGUUCAAGCAUGCAGUACCUUGAUAUGCAGAGCAACCUUUUCAAUGGAACACUUCCACCAGCUUUGGCUUCUUUGAAGGGCAUCCAGUUUUUGGACCUUUCACAUAACAACUUCAGUGGGCAAAUACCAAGAGACAUAAACAGGUUGGUGUUUCUGAAGUUUCUGGAUAUUUCUUAUAAUGACCUUGAAGGUGAAAUACCAACAGAUGGAGUUUUUGCAAAUGCGAGCCAAAUAAGAUUGGUAGGAAACAGUAAACUUUGCGGAGGCAUACCUGAGCUGCAACUACCAUCUUGUCUUGUCAAAAGAAAGAAGAAAGGAAAACGUCUGCUAGUAAUAGUUAUUCCCCUGGUCCUCAUAGUGAUACUAGUAAUUUCUGUCACAUUCUUUUUGUAUCAUUUUUUACAUAAAAAAAGAGAUAAAUGUGUGAAAGAGUCCUUAAUGAUGCCCUCAGAGCCGAUUGAGAAGAUAUUGAGAAUUUCUUAUCAUGAACUCUACCAUGCCACGGAAGGAUUUUCAUCCACGAACUUAAUUGGAUCAGGAAGCUUUGGAGUUGUGUAUAAAGGAAAGUUAGAUCAACACCAAGACAAGGAAGUUGCCGUAAAAGUUCUUGACCUUCAAAAAAAUGGGGCUUCCAAAAGUUUUGAGGCUGAGUGCAAAGCAUUGAGAAGCAUUCGCCAUAGAAAUCUUCUCUCACUCUUUUAACUUAUUGCUCCAGUAUUGAUACCAAAGGUAAUGAAUUCAAGGCACUAGUCUACGAAUAUAUGCAAAAUGGAAGUCUCGACAUGUGGUUACAUUCAGAAUUAGCAGAAGCAACUAGAUCAAGAAAUCUAGACCUUCUUCAGACGAUAAAUAUUGCAGUUAAUGUGGCUUCAGCUUUGGAUUAUCUUCACAACCACUAUGAAGUUGCUAUUGUUCAUUGUGAUCUGAAACCAAGUAACAUUCUUCUUGACAAUGACCUUAUAGCUCAUGUGGGUGACUUUGGAUUAGCAAAGCUUCUUCCUAGAACUGCUGACAUUGAUUCUGAGUAAGAAACUACCAGCAGUGCUGUUGCACCAAAAGGAUCCAUCGGAUAUGCAGCUCCAGGUAACAAUUUUGCAAUAGCUAGAGUAAAUGCAUUAUAUAUUCUCUAAAUAUUCAUGGUACAAAAAACACAAUUAUCCAUUUUAUCCUGUAUCAAAAAAGAAUUAUUAUGUUUAAUAGCUACUUUUUGAAAAUAAUUUCUAAUUAAAACUAGUAAAAUAAAGCCAUAGUAAGUAUAAAACUUGACUCUGGUUGGUGCACUAUUCGUGUUAUGACUGAGAAGUAGAAGCGUAUUCAAGAAAAUCUCUAACUAACUUUGGAGGGUUAAACCUUCAUAGAAACUCCAAAAGCCCUCAUCUCUGUGAGUACAAAAGGAAAAUUAAUUUGCUCAACCUUGGGGAGGAUUCCCCUUCGCUACCUCCACAUAAAGGCAGCAAUUUGCUUUGUCCUAAAUGAUUCAUUUUGAUUUUCUUUUAAGUUUACAAAAAUCCCUAAAAUUGAAAAAAAAAAAAAUCUGCCAUGUUUUUCUCGGAUUGCGAUGACAUUGGAAAUUAUUGACUGUCAGGCGCCUGACCAAGGCCUUUUUGACCCAGCUGACUGCUUUUUUUUAAAAAAAAAAAAAAAAAAUAUGCGGCCGUGCUGAGUCAGCACGGCCGCUAUAGUUUCAGAAAACUAACCUGUCAGAGGUACAUUUAGCGGAUUGUUUUUUUUUUAACCUAUAAUCUAAGAAAUUAGCCCUGAAUCGGUGAUUCGAUUACCUCUCUAGGUUGAGUUCCGGACUGAGUUUAAUAACUAUGGUAUGAACUCCUAUAUAACCAGUAACUAUGACUACAUUUGUUGCUAUACCUAGUGGUUAACUCCCCUAAAGCUAGCUGGUUUUCACAAUUAAGCACAUGGAAAGCCAAAAAUUACUACAUGAGACUGGAAAUCGGGUUGAUGGGACUCUGUGGUCAAGUAAUAACUAGUAAGUCUAGAAACUCGGGACUCUAAUAGAAGCUUUUCGAAAAUUCUUGGAUCGAUCAGUUUAGUUUUGUGAUGCCUUAUUAAGAGCUGUGUUUUGAAACUCGGAUCGAAUCGACUGGUUCAAUCGAUUGAAUUGGGAACUAAGUAGGCAUUCAAUCCAAGUUGUCUUAAAAAACUGUGAAACAAAAAUUCAGUCAAAUCCGAUUUUGACUGAGUUUGACCGAAAUCCGGAAGAACAGCUUCGAACCGAGUAUUUUUUCCAUCUUUUUCUUUUUUACCUUUUUUGUUUUCCUUUUUUGAUUCUUUUUUUUAAUCACUCUCAAAUCUCUUCAUAUAUGCUACUAUAAAUCUCUUUCAAACAACUCCAAUGGAAUAUAUAAGUUAAAAAAGGGAUAAAACAUUAAAAAAAGAAAGUAAAAAAUUCACCUAGAAAUAUUUUAUCAAUUUUAUGAUUUGACCCCUAGAGUACUAGAAAACUAUUAUUACACCUAGAAACAUUUUAGAACUUAUAGCUAUAGCCCUAAAUUAUUGUAUUACUUUUCAAAUAAGUCCUCCAAUUUGGUUCUAAAAUUGUCGAAUAUGCAUUAAAUUGUAAGUUGCAUAAAUUGCUACUUAAUUAUACAACCUUUUUUGUAUUUUCUGUAAAGUAUUUUAGAAAUAUCAAAUAUACAUUGAACCUACAUUUCUUAAUAUUAAUAUGUUUUUAGAAAUUUUGCAUAGUAUAUUAAUUUUUAAAAUUAAAUAUAUUUAUAACAUCAUGAUGGUAUCAUCUGGUUUUUGGAUGGGUUCGAUCGAACCCAUUGAUCCCUGACUUCUGACCCCUGACCUCGACCGAGUCGAUGGCCGGUUAGAAUUUCAAAACAUUGAUUAAGAGUAAGAAAAGGAUAGAUCAUAGGCUCCGUGCUAUAGAUGUCCCCGGCGACUUUGUUCCUUGAACUUUCCUUUUAACUAGAUAGAUUCUCCGGUGGAAAUUAAAGGUGCCAGGACCAAAACAGAUAAAAAGUAGAAGUUAGAGAAGUCGGAGGAAAAGUUGUUGAGUAGGAUUUCCAUUUCAUUGUUGAUUUCUCUCAGUAAUUUUUAGACUUAAUUGCAUGUUGCCCCCAGUAAUGCGGAUUAAAGUAGCAAUUGCCCUUUGUGUAAUCAGAAACAUACAUAUUGCCCUCUGCUGAUAAAUGGUCAGACAUUUUGAUUAGACUUUAAGGUAUAAGAGGUGUGAAAAGAGAAUCAUGUCCUCAGGUACACAAUGUUUUGAGAAAUUUAUUCUGGAAAAAUCGUGUUGUUAUACAUUUUUAAGUACACAUAAUUUACACCAAUCUUAUCAUAUGAACACAUACAUUCACAUUUAUGGCAUCCCUUGGAUUUAAAUUCUUUUUCAAAUUAAUAACAUUCUUACCGAGAAACUAAUAGUUGAUGCUUCUCUUGACGAGUGCCCACUAGACACCCAUUAGCCAAACCCUAACAAGUAUCAUAAUGUCCAAGAAUUGGUAAUACAACUAGAAGGAAUUUUGCAUUUUCUUAUGAUAAUUUAUGAUACAUAAAUAUUUUUCAUAUGAAAAUAACAAUAUCAUUUAAAUAUCAGAAGGAAUUAUUUAUAAAGACAAACAAGAAAAAAUGGAAGUGAGAUAUUUUCUUAUGAAUAUUUAUUUUCCACUUUUCUGUAAUUAGUAGUAAAAAUAGAAUGUUUUUUUACAAAAAAAAAAAAAAUAUCGGUAUAUAUAUGUAUGUGUGUGUGUAUAAUAAUCAAAUAAUACCAACACACGUGCACAGAAAAGUGCACGGGCGCGUGCAUGUGCACAAGUAUUUCAAUUUCAAAGAAAGAAAAAUCAAAGAGAAAUAUAUAGACUAUAUGUAUAAUAUUGGUGUUAUUCAAUAGUGAAAUAUAUUCUUUUACUUUUUUGUAAAAAAAGUAUUCCAUUUUUAAUAAUACUCUUCUUAUUAAGAAUAAGAAAGAUGGAAAUUAAAUAUUCAUAUAAAGUAUUUAACUUUCAUUUUUAUUUCUUUCUCAUUAUUAAUAUUUCCUUCUGAUAUUUAAAUGAUAUUGGUAUUUUACAAUGAAAAGUAUACAAAUAGUUUGAAUUAUCAUAACUAACUAAAACACUUAUUUAGCAAAAGUAGUUCGUGUAGUUUUAUGAUUAUUUCCAUUUACAGCUAUGUCACCAUUCCCUGGACACUAUAAUUUUCUUUAAUUAAAAAAUUAUAUAGUAAUACCCAGGGACGGAGCCAGAAAUUUAUUUUUGGGGGGGCUGAAGUGUAUUAAAAAAUUUUUUUUGUCACGAAAUAAAUAUAUUUAAUAAGUAAAAUUUAGAAUCAAUAAUUAUAAAAAUAAUAAAAACAUAUAAUUAUACAUACCCAAAAAUUUGUUAUUGAUUAACACUUGAAGUAUUGGUAGUUGUUGCACUCGAAUAACGAAGAGGAGGCAAUUGCAUUCUGCGAGUCUUCAUCCGUUGAAAACGCUGCAAUAUUUGCUCAUUUUCAAUUGUUGCAAAAAUAUCCUUCUCGAUGUAUACAACCAGACAGUCAUUCAUCCACUCGUCUCCCAUUUUGUUGCGCAAAUCAGUCUUGACAAUAUUCAUUGCAGAAAAUACUCUUUCAACAGAAGCAGUUGGAAAAAUUCUGUCGUAGGGAUGGCAAUUAUAGGGCAGGAGAUCCCUCUCCCGUCCCGUGCUUUUAAAAUUCUUUUUAUUUAUAAUAGCAACGAAUUGGGAAAAUUCUGCCAUUUGAUGGCAAUGGGGUGUGGGAUCCCUCUUCGAUCCGAUGUUCUAAAAUCUCCCUGGCCCAGUUCCCCGCUUUUUCUAUCCAUAUACCCUGCCUAUACACCUACGGGUGCCCUCACUAUUGUGUAAUUAUACUUUUUAUGUAUAUAAAACAUUAAUAACAACAUUAUAAAUUAUUUUUUAAAAUUCUUAACUGAAUAUUCAAUGUAAAAUCAAGGUUAAAAAUCACUUUGAUCUUUUUUUAAUUCAUUUCUCUACUUUUAAUAGGAAAUCUAAACUUACAAUCAUUAUGUUUAAACAAUGUAAAAAAAUUGAAGUAAACUAAAAAAUAAUUAAAUAAUAAUGUGUUUAUGUAUAAAUGUAUAUAUAUGUAUAAAACAAUAUAUAGAUCAUUGUAUUUUUGUUCAAUUUUAUAUUGAUAACCUGCUCCGUUGAAAUGAGGGGAGAAAAAUCUAUCCGGCCCUGCAUUCCUAAUCUACCGCUAGUUAUGCACUUGACAUCAAAAGUAGAAAGAAACUAACGACCAAUAGAGCAAAGGAAUUGAUUCAUACAGAGACAUGUCCAAGUCAUUAUGUUUGUCCGGCAUUAUCAUUAUCUCCUUUCACCGUGGGGGGGCUGGGCUGGCCGCCGGAAUCCCCUAUAUAUAGGGGGUUUUCCGGCGGCUUGGGGGGGGCUUAAGCCCCCACCAGCCCCCCCUUAAAUCCGUGGCUGGUAAUACCGUUUCCAUACGAUAAAACUAUCAAAGCAUUAUGUAUUCAAUGGCGUAACAGUUUCACACUUCUACUUCUCAUAGAAUUCUAGGCCACGCAUUCGGCCACUUGCUUGCAUGCAGUAAUUUAUGUAUUUUCUGAUUACAAAAGACAAUAUGCUACUCAACUCAUAUUGCAGGGGAAAUUUGCCACUAACCCUAAUUUUUAUUUCAAAGUUGAAUACAACAUGUCAUAUACGAUAAAUAUCUGCUAUAUAUUUCCUUUUGGGUAUAAAAGUUUGCAUGUCAAACUCAUUCACCACUUAGAAUUUGUUUUCCUAACUCUAGCAACACUUUCGCUUAACGUGUACGCCAAAUAUAUUGACAUCAUGCUAUCAAUUUUCUCAUUUCGUGAUGUACAGUUACAACGUCUGCAAAAAAAAACUUUCACAUCCAUAUAAGUAUGUAACAAUUUUUUUUAGUAUAUGUAGAAGAAUUCGAACAUGGGCCUUUCAUUUACACUUCCUCCUCUAAACUAUUUAACCCAUCCUCCCUCCCCGGUAUAAGUAUCUAACGUAUUUAACCAUAUUACUGUGCCCAAAAGUUAUUAAGUGCGUAAAAACUGUAGAUGCAUAUCAAAAUGGGCUUUUCAGGAUUUAACUCAAAAAAAUAAGUGCAAUGAAGAGAAAAAGUGUGCAAGUAUUGAGGUUGAACCGAGACAAUGGUGAAAAGAUCGAGGUUCAACCGAGAAAUUAUUAGACAAUUGGUGGAGCCCAAAAUGAUUCCCAAUGUCAUCGAUGACCCAAGCCAAAGCCGGUCAUCACGGCAGUGUUACCUUUUAUCCUCCCUUAAAUCUUGUUUGAAGUACAAGUAGAAAUUUAAUAAUGGGAAAAUUGCAGAAACCUCCCCUGAGGUUUCUAAUACUAGCACUCACCUCCCAUUUGAUUUAAGAAAUAACACUACUGACCUCCCUUGAACUUACUGAUUCUUUGCAUAUUCAGUCCAGGCUAGAAAAAGUGCCAUUAAAAUAUUUUGUUUUAGGGAGUGAGAUGAGAAAUUUGUACCAGAUUUGCCCUUUGUAUUACAUGCCAAGUCGUAUUAGUAAAGGAAUGACAAAAGCACUACAAAUUAAUUAACAAUUAAUAAAUUUUAAGGGAUAUAGUUUAUGGGCAAAUGGACAUUACCUAUUCAAAGUAUCAGCUCUUUAUGAGCAUUUCACUCUCAAUCAUUUAAUUUAUGAUAAAUACAUCAAUGUUUGUAAGUAAAAUUCAAAAAGUGUUACAGUAAUAUUCUUACAAAAAUUGAUAGGUUAUGUAUUUAAUAUAAAUUAAAUAUUAAAAAAAAAGAAAAAGAAAUGGCCCAUAAAGUAUCAAUUCUUUAUGACUUUCGUCCGUUACAUGAACAAGGUGUCGGCUCUUUAUAGGCAUUUUAUUGUGAAUCAUUUAAUUUAUAUUAAAUAAAUAAUGUUUGUAACUAAAAUUGAAAAAGUGUUACACUAAUAGUUUUAUGAAGGGAAACUGGCAGGUUUUGAAUUUAAUAAAAUUUAAAUAUGUGAAAGUAAAAAAAGAAAUUUCCCAUAACAUACUAGCUUUUUAUGGGUUUCCUCCAUUACAUAAACAAAGUCUUAGCUAUUUAUGGGCAUUUUACUUUGAAUCAUUUAAUUUAUAUUAAAUACAUAAAUGUUUGUAAAUAAAAUUCAAAAAGCGUUACACUAAUAUUUUUACUAAAUGAAAAUUGACAGGUUUUGUAUUUAACAUAAAUUAAAUAUGUGAAAGUUAAAAAAAAAAAGAAAUUGCCCAUAACAUACUAGCUCUUUACGGGUUUCCUCAAUUGCAUGAACAAAAUACUAACUAUUUAUGGGGAUUUUAUUAUGAAUCAUUUAAUUUAUGUUAAAUACAUAAAUAUUUGUAAAUAAAAUUCAAAAAGUGUUACACUAAUAUUUUUACGAAAGAAAAACUGGUAGGUUUUGUAUUUAACAUAAAUUAAAUAUGUGCAAGUAACACUUACAGGUAGUUUAAUUAGUUUAAUUGGUUACUUAAUUAGUUGACAAAAAAUAAGAUUUCUUUUGCAAAAUUUGUUCAUUAGGUUUCUCCAAAUAAUUAGGGUAUAAAGGUAAAUUUUCACAAUCUUUUGUUAGCAAAUCUGGCACAAAUUUCUCAUCUCACUUCUUAAAAUAAUAUUUUAAUAGCACUUUUUCUAACCUGGAUUAAAUAUGCAAAUAAUCAAUAAGUUCAAGGGAGGUCAGUGUUAUUUCUUAAACCACGAGGGAGAUGAGUGCAAGUGUCAGAAAUCUCAAGGGAGGUUUCUGCAAUUAUCCCUUUAAUAAAAGCAACCACCACUGUUUAGAAAAAAAAGAUAGGCCAUGCCCUCUUCUCUUUUUCUCUCUCUCGAGCGCGUGGAGGAAUCUGGUAACUUCCGAGCAACUUCUUAGAGAGAAUACUUAAGCAACACAGGGGAUAUUCGGUCCUUCGGCCCGACUAGUUCCCAUGCAGUUCGGGAAAGGGCACCCCAAUCCACUCCGAAUAUGAUAACUACAGGAUUCGAACAAUGGUUAAUGCCUUAAAGAAGGACUACAUGACCGGUAGAGCUAUCCCGCGGGGCUACCGAGGAUUGUACUUGAGUGAUGGUUUUUAUAGUAAAGUGUUCCAAUUCAUAACGUGGAGACUAAAGCAAGAUUAUAUAUGGUAUACUUGAAGGUUGGAUAGUGGAACUAACCCUUAAUUUGAAUUGUUUGGAUACUCUGUCAGAAUGAUAUCAGGUUUGCUUGGAUAGAGUAUUAUUUGAAAUAUUAUUUGGAAUAAUUACUGUAGUACUUUUUGUGAUAUGAUAUAUGUGAGAUAAAAAGAUAGAUUGAGAAAUGUGUUUAUGAUGCAAGUAAAAUAUUAUUUUGAGAUAAUAUGCUAUCCAAACACUGAUGUUAUGUAUGUGUUAAUUGUUAAACUCAUUAUUUCUUUGUUAACUAUUAAUAGAACUAAUUCUUCCAUAUUGUGUAUUUGCCUACCUAGUGAAUAGGAGUGCAAAUGAAUCGAGCAACACGCAAGCUGAUCGAUCAAACGAUCUACUCGAACUGACUCGGCAUUGAUUGAGUUUGAGUCGAUCUCGAACAGCUCAUUUAGCCAAACGAGACGAGUUUGUUUGGAUUGCUUCAUAUUUCCCCAAUUUUAUUUGCUUACAUCAUCUUUACAAUUUCCAAUACACCUUUUUUUCUUCCCAAUAUCUUUUUAUCUCACAUACAUCACAUCACAAAAAGUGCUACAGUAAAAAUAUCCCAAAUAAUCCCAAAUAACUUACAAUCCAAACAGACGUCAUUUUUAGUUAAACUCAAUAGUUCAUCGAGUCUUAUCGAGCAGUACAUAAAUUACAUAUAUAGGUACUGAGUUUACAUAAAUUUCCAAAAUGUCACCUUUUCUAAUCGAGCUCAAUACAUCGAACUCGCAUUCGAGCUUGAUUGAGCUCGAAUCGAACUCGAGCAUUUUAGAAAUCUUAGUGAAUCGAAUUCAAUAUGUAGAAUUUCAAAUUCAAUCGAGUCGAGCUUGAUUUUGUGCAAUGCUAUAUCAAUUCAAGCUCAAAUAUAGCACUGUUCGAGAUCGACUCGACUCGUUUACAUCUCAACUAGUGAGACAAACAGUUACGAACUUUUUUGUUUCCAACCUAUUGACGCAAUCAAUAGCUCGAACUAAAUAUCCAAGUUGCUGAUGGGAACUGAUUUGUAACGAACUCAUGUCCAAUGGUUAUUGAACUGUUACUAAUUUGUUAUGUCUAUAUUAUUGUUACAUAAUUUUUUCUAUCAAACGCAUUAUUGUACUAACGUAUUUAGACAGGUAGACGGGAUCUUGGACUACUUUUUGGUCAUGUAAUCACCUAUACUUCUUUGUUGAACCUUUCAAAGAAUGGAACCUUUUACGAGGAGGACUUCGAUCAUAGCAAGGGUUUACAGGAGGGAGGCGGAAGGCUUGACACAUGCUUUUGUUACUCUGGACUAUAUGUUUAGAUGCAGAUAAUGUUGGGACUACACUUUUGAUCUCUAACAUUGUACUUAGAUUUUAAGACAAUUAUGUUGUGCAUGCAGUUUUUGUAAAUAGGUUUGAUCUUAAGAAUUGUAUGGAUGGAGCGUUACUUGGCUAAGGUUGUAAUUACCGUAAAUGGCUAAAGUGUAAGGGUCUGUUUGGUAACAUAAAAAAGUGUUGAAACUGAACCUUUUCAUACAUUCAGAUAUUUUGAGUGUUUGAUAAAUGAAAAUUCAUAUGCUGAAUAUGUUAAAUAGUGUUGAACUUGUGUGUAUUUUUUUCAGCACAAGAAUCCUAAUUGAAUGCUUAAUUCUGAUAAGAAUCAAUAUAAUUAUUUCAACUACCUUAUCUUAUCUACCAAAUCUAUUCUUAUUUGUUAAUUAUGUUCAAAAUCCUUAUCUAAUUAAACAACCUGAUAUUCUCUAUCUAACGAUUGUCUGUUUCUUUUUUCUCCCUUUUUAAUGAUUUUCACAUUUUCUCCAUACUCCUCAUAUAAUUUAUUUUAUCUUUUAUAUUAAUUUGAUUUAAAAAUAAAUAUUAUCAUUUUCAUAUCUAACAAUUUUAAGCUAAUGAAAUUAUAGGCUCUAUUUCUUUUUUGAAUGAAAAGAUAUAAGGGCAAAACUGUCAAAUAAAACUUAUUAAGCAUUCAGUUAUAAAUAUUUAUCAAACAGUAUAAAUAAAUUUAGUAUUAAAAUUCAGACAUUCAUAUGUUUCUUUUCAAUACUUAAAAUUCAGCAAAUUAAAAGUCUCUUUGAUAACAUACAAAAAUACUAAAACUGAAUCUUUUCAGACAUUCAGAUGUUUUGAAUGUUUAAUAAAUGAAAAUUCAUCUGCUGAAUUUGUUAAACAGUGCUGAACUUGUGUGUAUUUUUUUCAGCACAAGAAUCCUAACUGAAUGCUUAAUUCUGAUAAAAAUCAAUAAAAUUACUUCAACUAUUUUAUCUUAUCUACCAAAUCUAUUCUUGUUUGUUAAUUAUGUUCAAAAUUCUUAUCUAAUUAAACAACCGGAUAUUCUCUAUCUAACGAUUUUCUAUUUCUCUUUUCUCUCUUUUUAAUGACUUUUACAUCUUCUCCAUACUCCUCAUAUAAUAUAUUUCAUCUUUUAUAUUAAUUUGAAUUAAAAAUAAAUAUUGUCAUUUUCAUACCUAACAAUUUUAAAUUACUUAAAUCACAAGUUUUAUUUCUUUUUUGAAUGAAAAGAUAUAAGGACAAAAUUGUCAAAUUAAACUUAUUAAGCAUUCAUUUAUAAAUAUUUAUCAAACAGUAUAAAUAAAUUUAACAUUAAAAUUUAAAUAUUCAUAUAUUUCUUUUCAGUGCUUAAAAUUCAGCAAAUUAAUUAUUUCAAUAUUUAAAUUUCAGAAUUCAGACUUUAAAAUUCAGAUUCAAUUUUAUCAAACGGAACCUAAGUUAACAUGAGAUUUCAGUGGCUAAUUCCACUCAGGGUGUGACAUAAUUAAUUAUGCACACUAAUCUGGCAUAGAAUCUCCCCCAGCAUAGUAAUAUGUUACAGAAACUCCUCAAGGCUUACAGACCAACUAACAUAUGGACAUAUAGCUGUUGUGGACAUACAUAUAGCUGAUUUUCCAAACAGUUUCAAUACCAUUAUUUGGAACCAUAUUACAAGAAUACGUGGCAAGAAUAUUCACACGCCUGAAAUGUUUGCCAUGAAGAGCAAAAAGCCUUAAACCAUUUGGAAAUGGUUGACAGUAGUACCUAUUACCCAAUCACCAAACACAUCAAAAAGGGACAAAUGCUUUGUUAGAUGUGCAUAAUUGGUAUUUCAGCUUCACUUGGCAGUUGACGCAGCCAAAAAUAGAAAAGAUCAGCUCCAAACAGACAUAUCAGGCGUUUCCCCCGGCCUGCAACGAACAUAAAGUAAACGUUUAUUGAUCAGCUGGUCUAUAAUUAGUUCUUUUUGUAUGUCAUGAUGGUGUUGCUGCACUAAUCUUUGGUGACUAAUAAAAAGAGUGAUAUUAGAGUGACUAACCAAACUUGCUGGGCCUUGCUUAUAUCUCCUCUUCGAUCAUUCCCAGUCCCACUUUCACAAGUAUUUGAAUGAAAGAUUAAGAGGGACUAAGGUCUAAGAGAAGAACUUGAGUCUGCAAAAGUUGAAUGCUCUUUUGCCUCGAAUAAUGACACGACCGUGCUGGUUUCUGUCGCAGAUGACUUUUCGCGUAGGUCAUCAAGUGGACUGGAAAGAUGUAGUUACCUGUCCAAACUCCAUUUGCAUACACCAUUACUAAUACUUCGUCAAAAUCAAGAAGAUCCUGUUUGGCCUUUACUCUUAUGGAUCCAACUGGCUUUAUCCUGAUAAUUUUCUCAAAUUUGUCCGGUCUAGCAGGCUGAACCCAUAUCCUCAGCUCUAUGCUGUAGUAAGUCCUGUUUUCUAGUAUACUGCUUACCGCCCAUUUUUCUAUGCAACCCACAACUUGAAACUAACUAGAAUUUGAAAAGAUUAAAGACUAGCAGUGCUCGUGUGCUGGUGUAUGAACUGAACUCUAAGAGGGAGAAAGACUGCAAUAGUGCUCGUGUGAUGGUGUUAGCAAAAACUUUUUUUUUUUUUUUUGUUAGCAAAAACUAUUUGCUCGUAAUAUCCUUAGGUCUAAAAUGUGAGGAAAGUGGACGCCUUCGAUGCCUAUUGUACUACUAAUUUAUAGAGGAAAUUUGUCCACUGCUUCUCAACUCAAUUAAGUGAGAAAUUGAACCAAAUAAAUUAAGGGCCUUUCUUUGGCGUUUGCAUUAACUGAUUGUGGUGGAAUGUGACUAUAAAGAAGAAUCAGAAUAUGAUAAAAUUAUACUUGGUUAGAUUCUAGAUAUUAACUUUUUUGUCUACUAAAAUCUAAAAUUUAGGUGCUAAAGCAAGCUAGACUCUAUUAUGAAUAUGAUAAAAUUAUGGGAUAAUUUCAUAAACCUCCCCUGAGGUUUCUGACAGUCUCACUCACCUCCCCUGCACUUUGCAAAAUAUCAGAUACCUCCCCUGAACUUAUAGUUGGAGUAGUAAGAUCAGCCCAUGUCAGAAAAAUGAGCAUUAAAAAAAUAUUUUGAGGAGUGUGAUGAUAUUUGUGUUCCACAUAUGCCCUUUUUGCUUAUCCACAACUUGAGCUAAAGCAAAAGCAAAAGCAAAAAAAAAAGAAGUAAUAAGUUGAACCAGAUAGAGAUAAAUGCAGAUAGCUUCUUCAAACAAUGUUACAAUUUUAUUUAUAUUUUUUUGUUCUAGCUAUUAGAUAUUUAUUUAGCUAAUAUGAUCAUUCAAUUAAUUGAAAAAUACUUUUCGUAAUAUAAAAAAAAUGUAUAGUUUUAUAAUUUGAGUGAUUAAAAGUAUAAAUUUUUAUUAGUUAAGUCAUAAAAAAUAUUAUUUGAGUAAUUAAAAGUAUAAAUUUUUACUAGUUAAGUCACAAAAAAAUUUUCACUAUUUGGUUAAUUGAGUGAAUGGCAAUUGCAGUUACAUAAAUAGGGUAACGAUCAAAUAACCAAUUUCUCAAUGGUUUAAUAACUCUUUUUGCGAUUUUCUCUGUGGAAAAUGAAGCUACUUCAUUUCGUUUAGUGCUAGAUACUUUAGUUGAGAUUUUUGAAAAAAAAAAUUUAAUUCACACUAUAGUUAGUCGAAUUUAUUCAACAAGCUUCGUUUGAAUACCAGAACUUAAGUAGAUCCGAUUUUCAAAAAAUUCAAUAACCCAAAUUGUGUCGCAUCCCUUUAUGAGAUGAUGUAAUAUACAAUUUACGUCAUUGAAUUUUGAAAACCAAAUUUACCCAAAUAUAAGUAAUGAGUUACACUAGAUAAUUAUCUUACAAAAAAAAAAAACAUGAAAUACAUGACUUUAGAGAAAGGUAACACUAGUGCUAAACUCUUCAUUGGUGAUUGUACUACGAAUAAAAAGUAUAAAGUGGAAUAGAAGGUAUAUCAUAAGUGAUAUCAAAAGUUAUAUCUGUAUUACUCAUUCAACUAAUUAUGUCAAAAUAGCUUCAAAAUAUAUCAUAAGUUAUGAGGGUAUAUCUGUCAAUUCAUCAUCAAUGAUAUCACAAAUAGGGCCCAAUAAUCUGACAAGGGAGGUAUCUGAUAUUUUGCAAAAUUCAGAGGAGGUGAGUGAGACUGUCAGAAACCUCAGGGAGGUUUCUGAAAUUAUCCCUAAAAUUAUACUUGGCUAGAUUCUAGAUAUAUUAACUUUUUUGUCUACUAAAAUCUAAAAUUUAGGUGCUAAAGCAAGCUAGACUCUAUUAUACUUGGUUAGACUCUAAAAUUUCUGUCGCAGAUGACUUUUCGCAGAGGCCAUCAUGUGGAGUGGAAAGAUGCAGUUACCUGUCAAAACUCCAUUUGCAUGCACCAUUACUAAUACUUUGUCAAAAUAAAGAAGACCCUCCUGUUUGGCCUUUACUCUUAUCGUUCCACCUGGCUUUACCCUGAUAAUCUUCUCAAAUUUGUCAGGUCUAGCAGGCUGAACCCACAUCCUGAGUUCUAUGCUGUAGUAAGUCCUGUUUUCUAGUAUACUAAGCUUACCGCCCAUUUUUCUAUGCAACCCACAACCUGAAACUAGCUAGAAUUUGCAAAGACGGAGGCACAUAAAGAACAAACAAUCAGAUUAAAGACUAGCAGUGCUCGUGUGCUGGUGUAUGCGCUGAACUCUGAGAGGGAGAAAGAUCAGAAUUAGGGAUGGUAAUGGAGGCGGGUGCCCGCGGAGGCUCUCGGGACGGGGACUGAGGGGAAUUUUUUUCCCCCGUUUAGAAACGGAGCGGGGGGCGGGGGAGUAUACCCCCGCCCCGCCACCCGCAAAAAAAAAAUUUAUAUAUAUAAUUAUAUAUAAUAUGUAAUUUAAUUAGUUAUAAAUUUAUGAUAAUGACAUUAGUAGUGAGAUGUAUUAUAUAAUAUAUAUUAGUGUAUGUAAUAUAAUUAAUAUUAUCAAUUAUACGAAUAAUUAAACAUGUCUACUAAUAGAAUUUAUUAAUUAGUUAUACUAAAUUUACUAAUACAUUUAUACUAAAUUUCUAAUUACACUUAAUAGAAUAACACUUUUUUCUCAAAAAAAAAGCACAAACACAAUAAUGAAUUAGUGAUUGUAUUUGUACCAAAAGUAAAAACUUAACUAUUUUAGUUGUAUUUAUUUCAUCAUGUUGGAUUGUAUUCAAAUAAUUUUUGUUUGAUUGUUUUUAUGAGUUUCAAUUGUAAAAUUAAAAUGAAUAAUAACUUGAUGAUGUGUUGAUAUUUUAGUAUUUGAUUAUUUAUUAAAAUUUAACUAUAAUAAAAUUUUAUUAACCCCGCGGGAGGAGGGGGGACGGGGGGAGUUUGCAGGUAGCGGGGCGGGGGAUGGGGGAGGGGUCCCCACCUCAACCCCGCCCCGUUGCCAUCCCUAAUCAGAAUAGUGCUCGUGUGAUGGUGUUAGCAAAAUCUCUAUAUGCUUGUAAUACCCCUUGGUCUAAAAUGUGAGGAAAGUGGAUGCCUUAGAUGCCUAUGGCACUACUAAUUUAUUGAGGAAAUUUGUCCACUGUUCCUCAACUCAAUUAAGUGAGAAAUUGAACCAAAUAAAUUAAGAGCCUUUCAAAAGGGUUUGCAUUAACUGAUUGUGGUGGAAUGUGCCUAUAAAGAAGAAUCAGAAUAUGAUAAAAUUAUACUUGGUUAGACUCUAGAUAUUAACUUUUUUGUCUAUUAAAAUCUAAAAUUUAGGUGCUAAAGCAAGCUAGAGUAUAAAAAAAAAAAAAAAAAAAAAAAAACUUGUAUCCAAAAUCAAACUCUAAACACAGGUGAAAUAAUCAAACGAGAAUAGGCCCAUAAUCCACCUGAUUAGUAAAUGGUAAUUUGGUGUAACUUCCUAGCUUUCCCCGCAACAGACUUCAAAGAUCAGGUUAAUGGGACUAUGUGGUCAACUAAUAGGUCAAAAACUGGGGACUUCAAAGAAGCUCUGCGUGUUACUGUGCUAAAAGUUAAAACGCGUGUAAACAGUAAACACUACUGUAACUGCAUAUGGGAUGGGAUAGGCAUCUCAUGAUUUGAUCGAAAAGAGAAUAGCAUGAUAUGCAAAGGAAAGUGUGCACAGAUUGAGGUUGAAAGUUAACCAAGAAACUGCUACACAAUUGGUCGUCCGGGAUCACAUGAAAUCAUUCUUGGUCCACAAGAAAUCAAUUCAGGCCCCAAGCCAAAUCCGGUCACCACCAUCCUUUAGAUCUUGCUUGAAAUCCAAGUCCAAAGCCAAAAAGCAAAGCCGGAAAACUAAUAUGGUAUAACUUUAAUAAAAGUAACUAUCCGUGUGAAGAAGACGUCAGGUCAUGCCCUCCUCUUUUCUUUCUCUGGAGUGCCGUGGAGGAAUUUGGUAACUUCUGGGCAACUUCUUAGAGAGAAUACUUGAAUUCUGUUUGGCAAGUAAGUUUUUUUUUAUCGAGUUUGUCGGCUAUAAGUGUUUUAAUAAUUUUAGUUUAAUAAUUUUAAAAAAAAUUUUAAAAUUUUUAAACUAUAUAUUUUAAAAUAUUCAAAAAUUUACAUAUUUUAAAAAAAAUUUCUAUAACUUUUAUAAUAAGUUAUAGUAAAAUUUGAGAUGAAUAUUCAAAAAACUCAUUUGCCAAAUGGACAAUGGUUUCAAACAAGUCGAAUAAAUACUUCAUUACCAUUAUAUGAUAUGGACGCAUGCUGCAUGUGUAGAAGAGAAUUUUAGGAUAAUAAAUAUGUAUUUAUUCUUGCUAGUGUGCAUCCAAAAGCCUAACUUAACUCCUUGGAACAUAGUUAUUAAACCCGUCCCGAGGAGGAAUCAGGUGAAAGAGGUGGGUGAACGGGUUACUGGUUCAAUCAGUGGGUGAGUGGUCCAAUCGGUGGAUCACUAAAUAUAUUUAAAUAUUAUAUCUCAUAAUUUUUAUGCCAUAAUAAAUAUUCAGUUAGUCUAAUUUAUUAUAAAAUCAUUAAUUCUUAUAAGAAUUAACAACCUAAAUUUAAUUAGUAAUCUGCCAAAUUUCAAAUAUAAAAUUUUAUCUAAGUGUAAUUAUCUAGUUUAUUUAUGAAUUUUAAGUGCAAAAGUUUAUUAAGAAUAAUAUUUGCCUUUAAAGGAAUUAUGUAAUAUGUUAUUUUUUAAGUCAAUUUCAUAAUUUAUAGAGUUUGGGAAAUAAUAAAAUGUUAUUAAAAGAUUUCAAAUAAAUUUUGUUUUGGAGAAAUAAAAUAAGAAUAAAAGUCUAAUAUAUAGCAUAAGAAGGACAAGAUAACAACAAAUAGGUAGUUGGUCGAGUAGUGAUUGUAUUCUAUCAGCAUGCAUGUCAUUUGUGUUUGAAUUUCCAUUCUAGCAUCUUCAUAAAAUUUUUCCAUGUAGACCGGGUUCUUCAUAAAAUCGAUCGGUUCAACGGGUUCACUGGUUGAACCGCUGAUCCGUUAAAAAGUCAACGAAUUCAAUGCAUAAACGAUCUAAUUGAUAACUCGGCCUGGUUCAUCGAGUUGACCUGUUGAACCGCCGGACUGGGCCAGAUUUAAUAACUAUGUCUUGGAAUAUCAACUAGUUUGGAGACCGUAAGGUCCCUAAAUCAACUCUCAAUCUCUCUUUUUUUUCUUUUCUUCUCUAUUUUGGAAUUUGGUGUUUCCUUUAAAUGAUAAAAAAAAUCCACUAAUGUAAUAAAGUUAUUACACUAGAAAGAUUAAUCCCUAAAUAUUUAUUUGAAUUAAUACACGAGGAAACAACCCGUUUGCCCCUUAAACUAUCCGCUUUGCUCGGUUUUGACCCCUCAACUAUAAAUCGUCUGAAAUAAGCCCCUCAGCGAAAAAAAAAGAGUCAAGUUCAAGGAUUUCUGUUAAUUUUGAGCGUUAAUAGAGACGAAAUGAGGGCAAAAUUGAUCAAUUAGAAAUCAGUCUAACUUUUGGCCCCUAAACUAAUCCCACGGCAUUGUUCUAUCCCCUAAAGUAUUUCCACAGCACUGUUGUGGCCCCUCAAAAAAGUUGACUUCUUCCAUUGGGUCGGUAUUGCCCUUCAUUCCAUCACUACUAAUACCUAAAAUUAACGAAAAGUCCUUAAAAAUGAUAUAUAUAUAUAUAUAUAUAUAUAUUUUUAUUCAGGGACUUAUUUCAGACAAUUUAUAGUUGAGGGAUCGGAACAAAAGUGAAUAGUUUAGAAGUCGUGUGGAUUGUUUCCUCUUAAUACAUUCAUGAUUAUAUUUAGGCAGAUUAAUUUGCACUUCAAUUUUAUCCUCUCUCCCAGAUAACUUUAUUAUUUUUUUAAAAUUUUUGUCACAAAGUUGCCCCUCAAGCCCAACUGGUCACAUUCUCACCAUGAUUAAACCCCUUCCCUUGUGGAUGAUACCACUGCUCUUUGUAGCUUCGAAGGGUUCUUCCCCGCAUGAUUUAUCCAGUUGAAUCCAAUUCUAACCCGCCCCGCAUAAGCAGCGCAAACACCUACCAAGAUGUAUCAUGGCCGCACCCAAAGAUUGAUUGAACGUUUAACAUGAUUUUAAAGGACAAAAUAACUUUAAAAAAAACAUGUUUAGUUGUUUAAAAUGGGUUAAGUUUUUUUUUUUUUUCUUUCUCAAUGGUAAAGUUGGUUUUCGUGAUGUCCAGUUACAACGUCUGCCAACAAAAAAAAAACUUUCACAUCCAUAUAAAAAUCUAACAAUUUUUUUUUAGUAUAAUUGUUUUUUCGCUUUUACUUCCUCCUCUAAACUAUUCAACCCAUCCUCCCUCCCCCAGUAUAAGUAUUUAACGUAUUUAACCAUUUUACUGUGCCCAAAAGUUAUUUAAGUGCGUAAAAACUGCAGAUGCAUAUCAAAAUGGGCUUUUCAGGAUUUAACCCAAAAAAGGUAAAAUGAAGAGAAAAUGUGUGCAAGUAUUGAGGUUGAACCGAGAAAUGGUGAAAAGUUUGAGGUUGAACCGAGAAAUUAUUAGACAAUUUGUGGAGCCCAAAAUGAUUCCCAGGGUCAUCGAUGCCCCAAGCCAAAGCCUGUCAUCACGGCAGAGUUAUCUUUUGUCGUCCUUUGGAUCUUAGUACAAGUAGAAAUUUAAUAAAAGCAACCGCCACUGUGAAAAAAAAUGGUAGGUCAUGCCCUCCUCUUUUUCUAUCUCUCGAGUGCGUGGAGGAAUCUGGCAACUUCUUAGAGAGAAUACUUAAGCGUGAAGUAGUUUGAACAAGUUCUUCCUCACCUUUUGAGGAUUCCACCAAUGAUUGUACCUUUUUUUUUUGGGCAAAUCAGGAGUAUUCCAAUUUGAUCAGACUAAUUUCUCUGGAUCUGAAGUACCCCGUCCCCAAAAGCGCUCAGAUGAUAAGAGAGGCCAGACCCGAACCUGCGUCGCAUGACCCAGAGGGCCACCCGACAACCGGCUGAGAUGAUCCGGGGGCACCAAUGAUUGUACUUAAGUGAUGGUUUUUAUAGUAAAGUGUUCCAAUUCAUAACGUAGAGACUAAAGCAAGAUUAAGGUAUCAAUCAUUUUUAGUUAAACUCGAUAAUUCAUUGAGUCUUAUUAAGUAGUACAUAAAUUACAUAUAUAGGUUUAGAGUUUAGGUAAAUUUUCAAAAUGCCUCAUUGUCUAAUCAAACUCAAUACAUCGAACUCGAAUUCAAACUCGAUUGGGCUCGAGCUCGAGUUUGCUCCAAACAAGUCGAAUUUGAGCAUUUUAGAAAUUUUAGUGAAUUGAGUUCAAUUUGUAAAAUUUCAAACUCAGAUUAAGUCAAGCUCGAUUUCGAGCAAUGCUACAUCAAGUCGAACUCGACUAUAACACUGUUCAAGAUCGACUUGACUCGUUUGUACCCCUAUCAGUGAGACAAACAGUUAUAGCUUUCUUUGUUUCCAACCGAUUGACGUAAUCAAUAGCUCAAUAUCCAAGUUGCUGAUGGGAACUGAUUUGUAACGAACUCAUGUCCAAUGGUUAUUGAACUGUUACUAAUUUGUUAUGUCUAUAUUAUUGUUACAUAAUUUUUUCGAGUUUUUUAUCAAAAUAAUACUCUUUCUAAAAAAUAUUUCCAAUGUGAUUCACUUUCAAAUUUUAUUCCCAAAUCGAUGUUAUUGUUGCCACCUAAUUACCCUAAUUGCCAUGUAGGAUAACAAGAAAGGAAAGCUUUAAUCUAGUUUAUAAUUUCCAAUAAAAACUAAAAAUUUAAACUGUUAUAUUAUAGAGGCACAAGAAAAUUGCAUAAUUUUGAUAAUUUCCUUAUAAUUAUGUAAAAUAAAUUUUACCAAUAUUGACCUGGCUAUUAUUGCUCUCUGCAAUUUUUUUAAAUGUAUCAAACUUAUUGCAUAUAUUUUUUCAAAAAUAAAUUUGCAAAAUACAAAAAUUGCAAUGAACAUUAUAAGCAAUAACAAGAAAAAGUUAAAAAACUUCAAGACUAUCAUAUUUAUUUAUGUUAUGCUUCAUACUCCUUGAAAAGAACUUUUACAAAAAGUAAUCAAACUAUUGCAAUUAAAAUAAUGCUAAAGUUUCUCAAAAGUAACACAAGCCAUUAAUUGAUGUUGAAUAAAUGUACAAAAAUAUUUCAAAGUAUACGAGAUUAUUUGAUUAUGUGAUAGAGAGGCACUACAAAUGAACAUGCUUAUAUUGAGUAUGAAUUUAUGUUGUUACAUAGUUUUCCUUUUAGACAUUUUAUCAAACACACGGUGUGAGAAAUCAUUUGUUAAAAUAAUUAGUAUUCAAAAUUUUUUGAAGGCCAUAGGAAUAUUCCAAAAACUGCACAACAAAAAAGACAAGAGAAUAAUCUUCAUUUACCUUAAAAUUAUCAAUUCGAGGAGAAUAUUUUCAUCUACAGAUAUAAUAUCAGGAAUGAUAAUAAAGUUUUAGAUGUUGUUAAUAUAAAUAUUGACUUUUAACAAUUACAUUUGACAAGGAAAAAUAACGAAAGGACAAAAAAUAAUAAAGGAAAAAAAAGUGGGAAGGUUUAGAGAGAGAAUCAGGGAAGAUAUUAGUUGAGAAAGAGAGAUAGUAUGUGUCUCUAUCUCUAUCCUACCACAUAUGCAACCUAUGUGAAAAAAAAAAUUAUAAAGGCAAUAAAUUUUAAAAUUAGGUUACUUUGGGUAUAUGUUUCAAAAGAAGAGUUAUUUUAGCAAUAAACUCUAAUUUUUUCUAUCAAACGCAUUAUUGUACUAACGUAUUUAGACAGGUAGACGGGAUCUUGGACUACUUUUUGGUCAUGUAAUCACCUAUACUUCUUUGUUGAACCUUUCAAAGAAUGGAACCUUUUACGAGGAGGACUUCGAUCAUAGCAAGGGUUUACAGGAGGGAGGCGGAAGGCUUGACAAAUGCUUUUGUUACUCUGGACUACAUGUUUAGAUGCAGAUAAUGUUGGGACUACACUUUUGAUCUCUAACAUUGUACUUAGAUUUUAAGACAAUUAUGUUGUGCAUGCAGUUUUUGUAAAUAGGUUUGAUCUUAAGAAUUGUAUGGAUGGAGCGUUACUUGGCUAAGGUUGUAAUUACCGUAAAUGGCUAAAGUGUAAGUUAAUAUGAGGUUUCAGUGGCUAAUUCCACUCAGGGUGUGGCAUAAUUAAUUAUGCACGCUAAUCUGGUAUAGAAUCUCCCCAUGCAUAGUAAUAUGUUACAGAAACUCCUCAAGGCUUUCAGACCAACUACCAUAUGGACAUAUAGCUGUUGUGGACAUACAUAUAUAUAGCAGAGAUUUUCCAAACAGUUUCAAAACCAUUAUUUGAAACCAUAUUACAAGGAUACAUGGCAAGAAUGCUCACACGCCUGAAUGUUUGCCAAGACGAACAAAAAACCUUAAAACCAGUCGUAAAUGCUUGACAAUAGUAGUACCUAUUACCCAAUCACCAAACACAUCAAAAAAGGACAAAUGCUUUGUUAGACGUGCACAAUUGGUAUUUCAGCUUCACUUGGCAGUUGACGCAGCAAAAAAUAG
rnacentral:lncRNA from 1 species